rnacentral:lncRNA from 1 species
NNNNNNNNNNNNNNNNNNNNNNNNNNNNNNNNNNNNNNNNNNNNNNNNNNNNNNNNNNNNNNNNNNNNNNNNNNNNNNNNNNNNNNNNNNNNNNNNNNNNNNNNNNNNNNNNNNNNNNNNNNNNNNNNNNNNNNNNNNNNNNNNNNNNNNNNNNNNNNNNNNNNNNNNNNNNNNNNNNNNNNNNNNNNNNNNNNNNNNNNNNNNNNNNNNNNNNNNNNNNNNNNNNNNNNNNNNNNNNNNNNNNNNNNNNNNNNNNNNNNNNNNNNNNNNNNNNNNNNNNNNNNNNNNNNNNNNNNNNNNNNNNNNNNNNNNNNNNNNNNNNNNNNNNNNNNNNNNNNNNNNNNNNNNNNNNNNNNNNNNNNNNNNNNNNNNNNNNNNNNNNNNNNNNNNNNNNNNNNNNNNNNNNNNNNNNNNNNNNNNNNNNNNNNNNNNNNNNNNNNNNNNNNNNNNNNNNNNNNNUUUUUUUUUUUGAGAGAUAGGUAGUAUGCUAUCCGCUUCGUUUGUUUUAUUUAGAAAUAAACUUAACUGAAUAUAUAAAUAAAUUAGGAUUCGAAUUUGGGAUCUCAGGUACCAACCACCAAGCCCUUUGUCACUUACGCUACUCACUGCUCCCUAUUGGGUUCUUAAAUUAGAAGCUCUUCAAGGGAACCUGACCCUCCCACUUCAGUUUAUAGCACACCUUCAGUAACUUUUGACAGAGCACAAACAACUAUACUACACAAGUUGAGGUGUUGGCCUUUGAGGGAAACAGCAGAGCUUCCACCUCUCCUAACAACGAAAAUUAAUGCUUGCUCCCCGUGCAUGUGUUUGUUAGAUUUGUCUCGGAAUUUAAUUAUUGAGUUCGAUUUUGUGCCUCUAAUUAGCCAACAAUUUUGCGGUGCAACAAACUUUUAAAAAUAAUUUGUAAAGAAAAAAAAUGAAUGUACGUGGUUCAUAGCAGAGGUCUCGGGCGGAUUGGCCCGAGUCCGCAUCGGACCCGAUUCUAAAGAAAUCCAUUUAGGUAUCGUUUGGUUCGGGGAUAAGCAAAAAGUGGGUAUUUCAGGAAUAGAUAUAAAUUAAGGUAUAAGCGGGGAUUAGAUCAAUUUUGCGUUUGGAUGAAAAUUAAGUUAUAUCUGGAAAUAAGAAAAAUAACGUUUAGUUAGGUAAGAUGAAAUAAGAAUUAAAGUCGGACACUUAUACACAUCUCCGAGCCCACAAAACAGACAAUAUUAUCCUUUUCUUUAUAUUNUUUUAAAAUAAGAAUAGUGGUGGGAACAAUUAAUAAAAAUAAUUUAUUAUAAUAAAUUUAUAAAUUUUUUUAAAAUUCUGCUUAAAUUUAAAUUUAAUAAAAAGAAUUUAUUAUAAUAUUUAAAUAUAAUUUAUUAUAAAUUUUAUUAUAAUAUUUAAAUAUAAAUAAUAUGUAUUAAUAUAGUACAAUUAAUAAUUUUAUAAUAAAACUAAUGUAUUAUAAUAUAUAAUAUAUUAUAUUUAUAUAAUUUAGUUUUAAUUCAUUUUAUAAUUUUAAUUAAUUUUAAAAUUAAGCAUUGGAAUAGCACUAUUCCACCAAAAUGGUGGAAUAGUAAAAAGCUUGCUAACCGACCGUCCCUAGAGCAAGUGGCAAAAGGCUUGGAGGUUGGUAUCCGAGAUCCAAGUUCGAAUCCUAGUUGAUUCAUAUUUCUAGCUAAGUUUAUUUUUGAAUGAAAUAAACGAAGCGGGUAGCGUGCUACCUAUCUCUCUCAAAUAAAAAAAAAAAAGAAAAGUAAAAAGCUUGCUAUUCCGGGAUAACCGGGAAUAACAAGCUUUGACCGGAAUAAAAUAUCCUGAUAAAAAAUGACCCCGUUUGGCGGAUAAGCGGGAAUAACUUUCAUUAUCCCCGCUUAUCCCCCGAACCAGGGUCUUAGAAACUUUCUUUCUUCUUUUUACUAUAGAGACAAUACAUCAUAUUGUAUUUCUAUAAUAUUGUAUCUUUUUUUUAUAGUAAAGUUCUCUCCUCCUUUCAUGAUUUUUUUUCUACAAAAAAUUUUUUAUGUAAAAAUCUUUGUAUUCUAUUUUAGUUUACUAUUUUGUGGUUUAUCUAUUUUGCAAUUGCCCUUUUUUGUUUUUAUUUAUGCGCUGAUCGUAACAAUAUUAAUUUGAGCAAUUAAUAUUCAAUAAUAAAUUUCUCAAAAUAAGAAUCUUUCUAUCAACAUUCAUAAGUUCUCCUAGAAAAAGCGUAGAGCUUAUUUAAGUUUUAAAGUCUCUUCGUCGGCAUCAAAUAAUUAAUUAAUCUAAAAAAAUAGUUGUAUGUAAAGAGACAUUAUUUAACUUAGGGCGUGUUUGGUUCGAAGUCGGAGUUGGAAUCGAAAUUGGAAUCAAAAUAAGCUGGAAUCGGAAUCGGAAUGACUCAUUACCUAAUUCUGUUUGGUUCAUCAUCUGAAUCGAAAUCGGAAUAAACCAUUCCCAUUGUCAGUGUUUGGUUCAGGUGGAUAUAAAAAAUGUAAUCAAAUUAAUAUACUAACAUUAUCUUUAUAAUAUAUUAAUUUAAAUUCAAAUUAAAAAUUAAAUAUUAAAAAUUUACAUCAAAAUUUUGAAAUAAUAUCAAAAUUUUAAAUCUUUUUUUUUAAAAAAAAAUUAAACUUUGAAGUUGAGUGGAUAAUUCAAAAUAUGAAACCAAAUUUUGAUUUAUUCAAAUUCAAACUUAAAAUUACAAUUUUAGUUUUAAUUUGAAUCCAUAAAUUUAAUUUAAGUUUGAAAUAAAAUUUGAAUAAAACUUUAUAUAAAUUAAAAUUUAAUUUAAAUUCAAAUUCAUAAGUUAGAUUCGAAAUUCUUGAUUAAAUUUUAAUUUUUAAUUUAAGUUCAAAUUAAAAUUUAAAAUUAUAUAUUUAAUUUUUAAAUUUUAAUUCAUAUUUUAAUUAAAAAAGUUAAAAAAAUAAAUUUAAUCCGAAUAAAUAUUCAUUCCGUCUGGAUUCAACUGCCAAUCCGCCUCCUAGGCCGGAUUAAAAAAAGAGGUGAUUGGGAGAUUCCCAUUCCACUCGAGAAUCGGAAUCGGACUGGGACUCCCGCGUACCAAACACUCACAAAUGGAUUCACCCAUUCCGAUUCCGAUUUCAGGAUGGAAAAGAAGCAAACAAAACACGCCCUUAUAGAAAACUAGGUGUUCAUAAUUUAUGAUCUAUAAAAGCCUUAUUACGAAUGUUUUAAGACACAUAUUUAUAAUUAAUAAGUUAAAUUCUGAGGACGUUGAGGCCUUCUAGGGUAAAGUUCUAAUCCAUGGUGCAUGUAAUAAUUUCUUCUUCUAAUUAUUCUAUAUGCUUUAGCUUAUAUUCCCUUUACUAUCCCAUCCAACCAUGCUUUAUCCAUUGAUUCGUAUAUAUAACCAUACAUUAUCUCUUUCGAUCAGUGCCUAUCACCCAACCUUAGAAUGUUUUUUUUUUUUUUUUUUGAACGAGAUAGCUAGCUAUUUGCUUCAUUUAUUAAAUAAAAUGAACUAAGCUUAUCCAACCUUAGAAUGUUAAUGAUGGUCUCGGUUGCUUCUAUAACUUAUUUCGGAACAUGAGGAUAUAUGUUACUUUCGUGCAGAGAAGAAUAUAGGAAUAGAUGCUGAUGUGAUGCAUGCAAUCACUCAUCCUGGAUAACUGUUAUUCUUGUAGGGGAAUAAUAUCCUAAAGAAUAAAUUUAGGAUCUUUACUGUCCUUGUUCGGUCGUAACUUUUCUCGAAACUGUGACAUUAAUUGGCACGAAUUUUUAAUACUCAAAUCAUUUCGGCAUCAAGUACCAAAGCAUGCACACAUUUUUGGAGAAUAUUCUUAAUUUGUCCUCUUUGCAGUUUCUAUCGUUGCAUUUACAUCUUUAGUUAACUAAUUAAGUAGGCAUGUGGCUCUCCAUUUGCAUUGCAACAUAAAAUAUUCGAUAAAUUAAAGAGGAUAUAUAUAUAGCACAAUGAGCAGCUUUGUUGCCAAUCCGUACAUCGUCCAAGAUUCCUUUAAUUUUAAGAGAAGGUGCUUCAGAGAUCAUCAUGCCUACCCACCACCCUAUACUUCCAAAGUUGCUUCUAGCCGCCGCGCGCUUCUUUGUUUAUUAUUUUAAUUCUUUUUUAAUGCUCGCGCACGAGUACAACUCUAUAUAUAUAUACGUCAAAAGCGAUGCCAACUUGAACACAGGGCAUCUAACUAGAAAGCCAAAUUGAACAAGGCAUCUGCAUGAUAUGGACUUAAUUUCGUUUAGAUCUGUUUAAACUAGUAAGUAUUGCAAAUAUAAGUCAUUAAAAAAAAAAAAAAAAGGCAAUUGCUUAUAUAUUACUGAAAAGUUUUCGACUUUCCGAUUUAUCCCUCUUGGCUAGUAUUAAAAAUACCUUUCUAUAUUCCAACCUAUUUCUAAUAUAUCCCAAGAGUUAAAAUCUGUUAAUUAACUCUGUUAUCUCUAUAAAAUUACUAUUUUGCCCUUUCAAAUAUCCCCUUCCACCAUCAAUGACUUUCUUAUUUGUCCUUAAAGUCAGGGGCACAAAAAGUAUUUUGACUUUUAGUCUUUUCCAAUAUUCUCCUCUACCGUCACCAACAUUAAGGGUAAAAUUGACAUUUUAAUUUUUUUUAACUGUGGUAGAUAUUUAACUCACAUUUAACCCAAGUUAACUUAACAGAAGAUAACUACAAGGAUAUUUUGCAAUAUGGUGGAACAUAUGAGAGGUAUUUUAGAAAGAAAAAAAAAAGGAUAAAUCGGAUAUUUUCAAACGUAAGAAGAAAAUAUAGGCAAUUAUCCAAAAAAAAAAAGAAAAAAACUUAGUAUGAUGAUCAUGAUCAACUCAAUCUUUUUUUAUUUUUCGUGAGGACCUUAGUUCUUAGUUUAUACACUGGUUUAAUUUAAUACUAUCUCACUGCCAUAUUUUACCUAUAUUAUUAUAAUUUUUUAAAAAAUAUUUACGGAAUAAUCAAAUAUCAUCUUGUCUUAUCAUACAGUUGCGCUCUCUCUUUCUUAUUUCUCCAGAGUUGCAAUCUGAUCUGCAUCACUUUAUCACUCUAGUGGCAUCACUUUAUCACUCUAGUGUGAAGGAUUUAUUUGUUUUGGUUUUUUUUUUGAGGAAUAGGUAGCGCGCUACCUUCUUCAUUCAUUAAAAGAGUGAACUAAGCUACAGAGGUGAGACAACAUGGGCCUCGAAAGCAACAGAAAAAAAAAAAAAAAAACCUAGCGAUUACAGUGGUGCAAAUUUAAUAACAGAUAGUGCUUCUAUUGGUCAGUCAACAGUUUAAUCUUAUUUAUACCCAGCAAUGGGUCUGAAUUGACCGAUCUGAAGAUUGUACCGUUCCUAGCUUCCCAGAUGAUCCACCAACAAGCUAUUAAACCGGUUGGUCCCGAAAGAGGGGAUGGCGAGUCCUUUCUACUUAUCCAUCUAUCCCAAACGAUAGUCACGUCAUCACUCAAGUCUCUUGUCUGUAUACUUUCCAAUGCCAUGAUCAUAAGAAAUCUGAAAAAUACGCACCGAGCGAAUAGGCGGUCUAUUGUUUCCUCCUUCAUCCCACACAAAGCACAGGACGUGUUACCCAUCCAUCCUCUCUUAAGUAGGUUGUCUGCAGUAAGGUGCCUCUUCCUGAGGACGAGCCAACAAAACAUUUUCACUUUUAAUGGUAUGCGAAUUCUCCAAAUCUUACUAGCACGGGCGUCCCUCGUACUACCAUCGCACAGCCCAGAAUAGGUUGACUUUACUGUAAAGCGUCCGUCCGAAUUCCAUCUCUAAUGCACACUGUCUGGUCCCUGUUCGAUUCUAAAAUUAGAGAUCUCCGUCUUCAGUGAUGUAAUGCAAGAAUUUAAUCGAUUAUCGUUAGUUGUAUCGCAUCCCAAGAUCUUGCGCCAAUUCCAUCCGUCGCUUCUAAAGCACUCACUGAUAUUUAGUUUUUUGCGAUUUGAUAGGAGGUACACCUCUGGGAAUGACGAUUGUAACGUGGUGUCCCCACACCAGCAAUCUGGAUCUGCCCAGAAGUCGAUACUACAACCAUUGCCCAAUUUAUAAGCAACGCCCCGUUUGAAGAUUUCUUUUUGACUUAGAAUUUCUUUCCACCAGAAAAAGGGAGGUUUAAAAGACAGGCCCUCCUUUAAUGGUCUUCCUCUAAGAUAGUAUAAGUCGUGUAUUAACUUGUUCCACUCCAACUGGGGCGAGGUAUGAAAUUUCCACCACCAUUUGACAAGAAGAGCUUGUUUCAUCAUGGCUAUAUCCAGAAUGCCUAAUCCUCUCUUUUUCUUGCUCCUGCAAACGUUUUUCCACGAAACUAGACAUUCCUUGCCAGGUGAGUUGUGCCCUCUGUUCCAAAAGAAGUCCCUUCGUAAUGCCUCAAUACUAUUGAUUGCCCAUCUUGGUGCCUUGAACACUGAUAGAUAGUAAAUGGGAAGAUUAGUAAGAACAGCUUUCAUUAGUAUGAGUUUUUUUCUUCUUGACAGUAGUUUCGCUUGCCACCCUUCAAUUUUGCUUUGUAUUUUGUGGAUGACUCCUCUCCAAUUCUCCUUAGUAGGAGGCCUGAUAGACAGAGAAGUAAGCCUAAGUAUCUAGUAGGUAGACUGCCAACUCUACAAUUAAGAAGGCGUGCCAACCUUGUCGCUUUUCCCUUAUUUGUUUUGUUGUUUAAGCAAUAUAUCAUAGCUCAAAACUCUGGUAAGUAACGUAAACUCUACAUAACUCGUGAGACGAGUAAUGCAGCUACUUACGACAUAAUAGAAAUUAACUAGGUGAUUAAUUUGUGAGAUAGACCGUAAUCUAGUUAGAGUGAAAGUGGAGAUCACAUGCGCAGUCCAUUUUACAAAUGUUCCGACUUCAUAGCACUCCGCACUACUGCACUGCAUGACGUCAAACAAGACCAAAUUAUACAUGUUAGCCCUAAGCUUGAUUAAAAAUAUACAAACUAAUCGACCAUAAAAAUAAGUACCUAACUUGACUAACUUUGCAAAUAGUUUAAACUCGACCUAAAAGAAGGCAUCUUAAUUAAUUUGGGAUUAAAAAGUGAUGAUCCUCUAGCGUUGUCACUAAGUAAAAGUGACCCAUUUACAUUGUCGUACGUACAUGUGGUAAAAUGAGCUGUAACGAAGGACGAAAAUGAUCAUUUUCACCGACCGUCUCUAAAACAAGUGACAAAAAAUUUGAUUGUUGGUAUCAAGAGGUUUCAAGUUUAAAUCCUAAUUGAUUUAUAUUUCCCGCUAAGUUUAUUUUUAAAUAAAAUAAACGAAUCGGAUAAUAUGACCAUUUUCGAGUUAAUUAAAACCAAAUUAUAGAGAAAGAAAGUACCACGAACGUGAGAUUUUCUCCUUGGUGGGUUUCUCCAGUGACCGAACCAUUAGACCAAGUUUGACUAAUUAAUUAGGAACGUGUUUGUUUUUGACUUUUAGGUUGAAUAGGACCUCUUUGGUUAGUGGUUCACGCACUUUUUUCUAAAUUUGAACUUUGUCGUACCUCUAGGUUCAUUUCUUUUAGGGUGUGUUUGAUCUGAUGUAAAACUGUGGAAAAAAAAAUUUUAAUUGAAAAUUUUUUUUCGGAGAACAACAAAUUUUAUGGUCUCUAACGUUUAUAGGGAAAAAAAUAGUUUUCCGUUACGAUUGUCUGGUUGAAAAAAAAAAAAUUUAUAAAUAAAAAUUAUUAUAUAUAUUUUCUCUUAUUGUAUGUAUUACAUAUUAUUGAUAUAUAAUAAUUAUCAUCUAUACUACUUAUAAAAGAGCGAGUUUUAAAAAUUUUUUAUUUUCCANUAUAUAUAUAAAAGGGGGGUGUAUUUGAUGUUUAAUAUGCUUUCGUGAUUCUAUAUGCUUUUAUGAUGCAUGAAUUUUUUACAUAAUGAAUAUAAAAGAGGGGUCCACCGUGGACUCUCUCAUGCGGUCCACGAGGUGAGAAUGUCCACGUGCGAUUUUGGGAGGGAGAGUUUUCGUUUUCCGCGAAUGCCGAGAGGAAAACGAAAACUCAUUUUUUCCCAACAAUAUGUAAAAAUGGUUUUUCAAAAAAAAUUUUUACAGAUAACCAAACAUAGCCGAAAAUUUUUUUUCUCACUACUUUACACCCCCUUAGUUUUUGCUUUUAAGCAUAGGGGGGAGGAUUCCUUGCCCUUGGAAAAAAAAAAAAAAAAAAAAAAAAAAAAAAAAAAAAAAAAAAUCUGGACUGGGACAAGAUUCUAAGUAGCACCAGCACUAGUGAAUGCUCAAAUAGUAACGGCUGGUGCUGGGACAAGAUUCUAAGUAGCACCAGCACUAGUGACCACAGAAUGACUGCAUGCAUUUUGGCCCUCAAGGCACGGCUCUUCUCCUUCAAACCUGGGCUGGGACCGGACAGUGUGCAUUGGCGGUGGAGCCCUAACGAGCGUUUUAGUGUGAAGUCAACGUAUUCAGCAAUAUGUGACGGGAGGACGAGGGACGGACGAACCUGCAAAAUUUGGAAGCUCUGCAUACCAUUAAAAGUUAAAGUGUUUUGUUGGCUCGUUCUAAAAAAGAGACCUCUUACUGCAGAUAAUUUAUUAAAAAGAUGAUGGAUAGGCAACUCGAAUUGNGUAUAGAUAUCCGAAAUUUUAUCCGAACCCGAACCCGAAUGAAACAGAUAUAUCCGAUGGAUAUGGAUAUGGAUUUGGAUUUAGAUAUAAAAAAUAGAAACCCGACGGAUAUGGAUUCAGAUAUGGAUUUUGAUUGUACCCGACCCGAACCCGUAUUUAUUUUGUAUUAUAUAUAUAUAUAUAUAUAUAUAUAUAUAUAUAUAUAUAUAUAUAUAUAUAUAUAUAUAUAUAUAUAUAUAUUUGAUGUUAUAUUUGAAUUUGUAUUUUAAAAAUUUAGAUUUAAUAUAAUAUUUUUUGAAAUAUUGAAAAAAGAAAUAAUUGUUUCGGGUUCAAAUUUUCGGGUUCGGGUUUGGGUUCGGGUUUCGGAUUUUUGGUCGGGUUCGGGUUUGGAUAUGGAUUUUUAAAAUCCAUCGGGUUCGGGUUCGGGUUCGGGUUUCGGGUUUGGAGUCGGGUUCGGAUUCGUGUUCGGGUUUUUAAAAAUCCACCCCGAAUCCGACCCGUUGACAUCUCUACCUCUUACUGUAGAUAAUUUAUUAAAAAGAUGAUGGAUAGGCAACACGAAUUGUGUGCUGUGUGGGUCUGAUAUGGAAACAGUAAACAACCUUUUUUCUCAAUGUGUAUUCUUCAAAUUUCUUAUAGUGAUGUCAUUGGAGAAUGUCCAAGCAGGAGAUUUGGCCGAAGAUGUGCAUAUGGUUUGGGACAGACGGAGCGAAAGGAUGGGGUCUCAGUCCAUGAGCGAUGGUUUAGACUAAUUGUCUGCUGAUGGGUUAUUUGGGAGACGAGAAAUGGUGUGAUCUUUAGGAGGAAUCAGACUGAUCCAAUCCGUGGUUGCUAUAAGGUUAAACAGCUGACGUCCUUAUGGGAGAAACUUCGCCCUAUGGAGAGACACUGAUUUUUUUUUUAAUUUUAUUAUUAUUAUUAUUAUUAUUAUUAUUAUUUUGUUUGUCUUUGUCCGGCUUUUCAUCUCUUUAGAGGCCUUGUUGCCUCACCCAUGUAGCUAAGUUCAUAUCCUGAAUAAAUAAAGCGGGUAGCGUGCUACUUUUUUCUCAAAAAAAAAAAAGGAAAAAAAAAAAAAAAAACUGGUUAUAUAUGGUUCUCAAGAGUCAAGAGUAAUAAAAGUCAAAGCAAAACCACCGGUGUCUAAUACAAGUAGUAAAGAAUUUAGUGGUUAAUAUCCGACAUUUUAAAUUUGAGACCUAAUUAUUUUACAUUUUCAACUAAAUUUAUUUUGAAAAAAAAUUUAGAAAGAAGCCUCUAAAAAAAAGCCAUCUAAAACACCGAGUUCUCCUACGUUACGUCUUUCUAGGAUCAAAUUAUACAAAUCCUAAUUUUCUGGCAAAUAUAAGAACAUACAAGGUGAUCGAUAUCAUGCCCAUUCGGCUAAAUCUUUGAAUUUGAAAAAUUUUGGUGACUUUGAUGAAAAAGUCAUUAAUAAAUCUCCAAUAACUCAACACUUCUUCACCAAAUUUUCCAGUACCUACCCGGCAUUCUCAAAUGGAGAAAAUAUGAACCAUGUGAUCACUAUCAUCCUAAAACAUUCCGAAACUUAGUGGAAUCAUAAGUUUGUAAUGGCAUCUUAGUCACAAAGAUUCCUCCAGAAUCUUGAUCAAAAUUUUCAUCCACUUCUGGAUCACUAGUACGAAGAAUACAGAGCGCUAGCUAGCUACAUGUUCUCCCGAGGAUGUUCGACAAUUACACAAAAUGCUUGCUGCGAACCAUCUCUCGCAAAAUAUACAGCGUCCACGCAGGUCGUGUUUGCGAGUCUAUAUCGCAUCAACUACAUCAAUCGAUCCAUCAAAAUGCUCCACUUCAAUUAGUCUUAUUAUAAGUAUAGUGGUGUGCCCAAAUUUUCUUCAAGAAAAAAUCUAGUCCCUGCUGAUCUUCCACUUUGACUUAAAUCCCGAUCUUUUAAUUUUAAUUAUUUAUAAUGGUUUGAUGGUUGUGCAUUUGUUUAUUUCUUGUGGACCACACGUUGGUCAUAGUUGUGUAUGAAUUGGAUGCGUCGGUGGGCGGUGUGCGUAGGUUUGAGGUUUUAGGUUUUAGGUUUGGGGUUUGAAUCACUUAUUCACUUGUGGGUACUGUGGGGCCCCUUGCCACCUUCUUAUUAUUAAAAAAAAAAAAAAAUUGAAAUUGUUCUCUCAACACUUCUUAGUUCUGGCCAUCAAACUAUUACUUUAAAACUAGUUUUACUUGACAAAAAUAGUUGUAAUUUGCUUGAUAAUUUAGAUUUGUUAAAUGCAUUAAUUUAGAAUAGCUCCUUAUAAAAUGUUUACCUUAAUAGCGAGCCAAUGAAUCUAGUUAAUAGUAUAGGAAUGAUGUACAGAGUUAGAUGAAAAAAGGUGCAUGCAAGUAGCCAAGUUGAAGACAACCAAGGGUUCCAUUUGAGAUUACGACCGAAUUGCAUUACGUAUAAUGAAAAAGUAUGAUAAAACUAAAAUAUAAAUUUUAUUUUUUUUUCUGAAAAAAGAAAAAUAUAUCAAUAUAUGAUAUUUCUUUCACUCUUUUUGGCGUUAAACGAUUUGAAGCACCAAGUGGGGCCCAUAUCUCUUGAUAGUGUGGAAUUGCAUAACAACCAAACCUCCAUUAAAUCCAAUGAGAUAAACGUGUACAAAUUAUUAUAUUUGUUAUUUUCCUGCAAAACUAUAGCCUAUAAGUCAUCAGAAAAACCAAACCUCUAUUAAAUCCAAUGAGAUGAACGUGUGCAAAUUAUUAUAUUUGUUAUUUUCCUGCAAAACUACAGCCUAUAAAUCAUCAGAAAAAUUAACUGAUAAAAUGUAUUAACUUUUCAACUAUGAUGAGGGCAAAACAAUCAAAUAAACCAAAUUAAUUUUUUCCAAAAAUUUACAGAUAAUUGCUCGAGGUUAUAUAACUUUCCACAUUUUGUGUCGAAACACAUUACUUUUGGGCCCCUGGAACGGCCCAAUACUGCCCAGUCAGUAGGCCCCAUUCCACCUGGUUCGUAACGUGGUCCUCACACUGUAGUACUACAGUAUAAAAUGUAAAUACAACACCCGGUCUCUAAGCGGGCCAAUAAAUCAUCGCCCAUACAAAAUUAGGCCAACUUGUGUGUUUGGAUCUGAGUCGUGAUUAGCGAGCUGGAUCAGCUCGAUCGAACCAAUUCACAAGAUACCUUUUUUAUAAAAUAUAAAAUAUAUAUGCGACUAACAAGGCGGACUUUGAAAAAGCUUUUGACAACGUAAGAUGGUCCUUCCUAAAAAGUAUUAUGCACUGGUUAGGAUUUUCUGACAAAUGGUGGGCAUGAAUCGAGCAAUGCGUGUGUAACGCCAAAGUCGCCAUCCUUGUGAAUGACCUUCCGUCCGGAUGGUUGAAAACAAGAAAGGGACUUAAACAGGGAGACUCCCUAUCCCCCUACCUGUUCCUUUUGGUAGCCGACAGCCUGGCCAGGACGAUUGAAGCAGCAAGGGAGAAUAACCUGAUUCGUGGCAUUGGCCCUUCUGAUGAAUGCCGGACGACGCUUAUUCAAUAUGCCGACGAUACAAUCUUUUUCCGUGAGUCAAGAAAGCGCUUCCUACGCAACCUUUUAUUCGCUUGGAAUAUCUUUGAAUGGGCAUCUAGCCUUAGGGUUAACAAGAGCAAAUCGGAUUUUUACUACAUCGGACACAAUCCACGCCAAGCCAACAAACUCGCUAGUAUCAUAGGAUGUCGAAUCGGAAACCUACCGUUUCACUACUUGGGGCUACCACUCCACAACAAGCGACUACGUAAGGAGGAUUGGAGAUGGGUCAUCAACUGUAUUGAGAAGAGAAUUGACGGGUGGAAAGUUAAGCUCCUAUCUUUUGUGGGAAGACUUACCCUCGUCAACUCGGUUCUCUCCAACCUGCCGCUCUUCUACUUCUCCAUCUUCAAAGCGCCGAAAUGGGUUUUACAACGGAUAGAAGCUUUGCGACGAGCCUUCUUUUGGAAAGGUUGCUCCAAAAUUACCAGAGGUGCAUGUCUCGUCAGCUGGAAUUCUAUUUGCAAAAGUAACAAAGAAGGGGGUUUAGGAAUUAAAGACAUGGAAUCAAUGAAUUUGGCCCUUCUAACCAAAUGGUGGUGGCGCUUCUUUAACGAGCCUAAUCUACCUUGGUGCAAACUAAUUAGAUCAAUCUACUACAACAGAAGAAGACCGCUUCAUGAGGGUUCAGCCUUUGCCCCACACUCGCAAUGGUAGAAAGGCGUGCUCAGUUGCCGUAAGGUUUUCACGUGCGGCGUAACCUAUGAGUUAGGCGACGGCCUUAAUAUCAGGAUGUGGUCUUACAUCUGGAUUGGUGAACUCCCUCUUCGCACCCUCUUCCCGAAUAUUUUUGUGAACAUCGCAAAUAAGGAGGCAAGGCUGUCCCAGUGCUGGAAUGCAAAAGGGUGGCGAUGGUGGUACAUUUGUCGUGGUUUCGCGGUGUCCCAAUCUGCUGAGAGGCGCGCACAACUGACGAUGCUUAAAGACUUACUUCAACACCGCGCCCCAUGCAACAAAACGGACUCCUACAAAUGGCGGUGGACAUCCAACCAGCUAUUUUCUGUCAAAUCCCUCUACCGAUUUGUCACAACUGCGGGACAAAUAAACCCGAUAAACGGCGACAUCUGGAAGCUGAAAAUUCCACUCAAAGUCAAAGUCCUUACCUGGCUGCUGCUUCGGAAAAGACUACCCACAGCCGACAGACUGUCCAAACGGGGUAUAGCUGUUGAUCAACACUGUGUCUUCUGUGCUGUGCUAACGGAGAGCUGAGACCAUAUUUUCUGCAACUGCGUCUUUGUUAGAUACCUCCUCCUCACUACAGGUGGGUGGAAUACACCUGGCGCUAUACCCGACGGCACUUCAGGUGACGUUCGCAGGCUCUGGACAACUACUGCCACCACUUGUGUCAAUAUAACGAGAGCAAAAGGACUUACGCUACUAGCAGCAAUCUGGUGGGUGGUUUGGAGGGAUAGAAAAAACUCUGUGUUCCAGGCUUUACCGGCCAAUGCGAGCCGGUCACUAGAACGGGUCAACCUCCCGACGAACAGCUGGGCCACGCUGUGCUAACGGGUCGCUAGCUUUCUUGUCCCCCUACUCCCCUCUUGUUUUUUGUUUUUUCAUUCAUUCUUGCUCUGUUUUUUAUUUUUUUCCUCGCCUUGCCUUCGAAAGCCUUAGCUGCUUCCAUCAUGUAUGCUCAGUUUAUUUUACUUAAUGAAUGAAGCAGGUAGCUUUCUACCUUUUUCUCAAAAAAAAAAAAAAAAAAAAUAAAAUAAAUUGUGACUACAAUUACUAUUAUUUUUUAGAAAUAUUUAACGUGCCAAAAGCUAGAGGUAAAGUGGCACUUGACACCAGUAAAGUAGCGGCAACUCAACCACCACGUUCACUGUUAUCUCCUAAGCUAGCUUAGCAAGUGCGCAGAGAUUAGUUAAUUUAUUAUUUACGGUGACCGACCAUUGGACUAAUCAAAUGUCUACAAUAACAUCCAUCGCAAAAAUUUCCAUGGAAACAUAGAUACGUCGUAUCUUAAUAAGAUCCAAAAAAAUUUUUGAAUUCAGUAGCGAAAAAUCUUUAUAUCCACCGAUCACAUGCGUGCACUAUACUUCCCUUCGUCGCACGUUUCCUUUUGUUUUGUCUUCCUCCCCCUUGUCGGAGAUACGUAACGUUCGAAUGAUUAAGCAAGAAAAGCUUUUUCAUCUGUACACACAAGUAGCUAGAGAGAAACGGACAAGCAUCUUCUUCUGUUUGUUUUUGAUUCUCGUACAUACAAUGUAUAGGUCCAGGAUCUGCAAUGGAAAUCGACGAGCGUGUUCUCGGUAGCUUGAGCCGAUCCUGGUCAUCCUUAAUCGCUACGUGAUCUCCUAGAAUUACUUAUCGUACAUGUUGUCCCUCAAUUGUUCAAGAGAGCAAUGAUUCAAGGAACCGAACUGCUGUGAAGAAGAAAUUAUUUUGAUAGACGUACGGGAUCGAACGAAUGCAAUUGCAGUGACAAAUAUCAUAGUCCAUUGGUGAAUGGCCAUCAACUUUCCCGUAGGUGUCAAAUAACUAGUACUAGUACAUAUAUAUUGCUUGUAGAUAACUAGAAUUCAAAAGCUAUAUGUUUCAGUAACCAGUGCUAGAAAAAUUUAACGUUUUCAAAAUAAAAUAAUUAAGGUAGUUACGUACUAAAGAGCGACACAGAGCUAAUUUUUUACAUUGAAAAGUUCUACUUUUUAUGGAGAAAUUAAGAAACAUUCGAUUUCUAUUUACGGAUCAGAAUAGAAAAAAAAAAAAAAAAAAAGGAAAAAAAAUGCAACUCUCAAACAAGUUUCACCUACCAAGUUCCUGUUGUGCCAUCCCCACCCUUCAGCUUAAUGACAACAAAAUCUAAAUUAAAUCGGUAGCAAACAAAAACAAGGAGGCACAUCAUGAUCACCAUCAUCAAGCACAAGCCACUUUUGGUGGGCCUAUCAAGAUCAUCCAAGAAAAAAGAUGGCCAAAAUGGGGCCCUCGAACUUAUUGGUGUGACUGUGAUCCAUGUGUACGCCUCUCCAUGGCUAAUAUCAUCACUAUCCCAAAUUGGUGGGGAAAAAUAACUAGAAAACUUUUGCUUUUAAGGGGUUGUAUCAUUUUGAAGAGGCCAGGGUCAAGAUUCUCACACAGAUAUGUCUUUUAGUGGUUUUUUUUUUUUUUUUCACCUUUUUUUUCUUUCUUUUUUUUUUUUUUCCUUUGGAUAAACUAUGGUAAUUUUUAAUACAAAUAUUUUGAAUUCUCACAAUCUAAUAUGAUUAAUUAAAUAUUGACAAAUUUAUUGAUGCAGAAGUAAUAAACAAGUUUUGUGAUUGAUACCGUGACAAUAAUUAAGAUACUAUAUUAUUUAUAUAUUAAUAACUUGUUAAUAUUUAGUUAAUUAAAUCGAGUUGUGAAACUUUAUUUGUAAUAAUUCAAAAAAUUCAAAUAAAAGUUUACAAUAAAUUAAAAUUUGAAUAGCAAAAUGUCAUACACUCAGACGUCUGCCUCAUAGUUUGAGAAUUAAAAGUGUAAUUUAUCGUUUUUCUAUAAUUUUUUAAAUCCUUUUCGCCCCUUGUACCUUUGAUGAGGCACUCAGGUAAUUAAUCCGGCCACCACCUUACAAUCCCCAUCAUGAAGCAUAAUGGUUUUUUUCCUACAGCCUCCACUAGUAGUGGUGGGUCGCAUAAUCCUUAAUUGGGACUUAAUGGUCUUUAUAAUCUCCAUCAGGUUUAUUGGACCGGAUCGGGUGCUCCGUGCACCAAAUAUUCGAACCAAGAUCCAAUUGGGACUAUUAAUUUAACAAUUUUAUGAUGUACUAGAACUAGUGACAAUUUUGUGAUGUUGGAAAAUUGCAGUAGUUUUAUGCUAAAUGGAAAAGGCUUAGGUCAUAUAUAUGCAUAUCAACAUCGAUUAACUUAUUAUCAAGAUGAGGAGAUAUAAGAAUGAAUCAGAAGAACAUUUUACAUGUACGAAUCUUAUCGAAAUAGAAAAAUGUAUAUACUUUUUUGUAUUUUAUUAAUUUAAAUUUAUGGUAAAUUAAAAGUGUUGGUCAGUUUCGAGCUAGAUUGAGUCUACAUCAGUUUGAUUCCACCUAGAACUCAAUCUCCGGCCAGAGGGGUUUUAAAUUGGACCCACAUUUAUUCUACAUGUUCCCCUAAUCUCAAUCAAACCGAGAUAUGAUUGGAUUAGGACCGGAUCGAUUUGAGCUACUGGGAUCCAAAUGAUAAUUCAAGCUAUAAAUCCAUUUCGAAAUAGGAUCUACUUUAAGCAGAUCAAGUUUAAUAUUUGCAUUGGUUCAAGCGAAGAAUACUUAAAAAGAAUAUGCUCAAUUUUUUGCUUUAGAAAGCAAAAAGAGAAACAUAUUCUCAACAUUAGUAAACAAAGUGAAAAGUGCUGCCCUUUUCUCUGUUUAUUAGACUCUAUAAUUUAUGCUUUACGGAUCAUGAUCUAUUUGGCCAUUUAAUUACUGCCGCACAGAAGCAAUGAUAAAAUGAUUAAUCUAUACCUAUAUAUUAUUUUUUAUAGAGUUUGUUACGUGAUAAUUCUUUCUUCUAUCCCCUUUCCACUCUCUUAUACUUCGCUUUCUCAUCCUAUCUUUAUCCGAUAUUUUGUCUUCCCACCUGCCCACUUCUAACUAAUAUAUUCACAUAAUUUAUUUUCAUCUAAACAAAUUACUUUCACAAAAAAAAAGUAUAAAAUAAAAUUGCUUUAUACUCUUUUUUAUCAUAUUUUUUAUUUUUUUUGUACAUAAAAAAGGUUCAUUUUUUGCAAUUUUAUUUUAUUAUUAUUUUUUUUCUAAAAAUUGUGUGGGAAUGGAAAUUAGAAUUUCGAGAAUCGCAGUGGUGUAGCUAGGUAAAAGUGACGUAGAUUUGGAGGCGAUAAAGGAAAAAAAGCGGUGAGUAUGGAGGGAGCCCCGUAUAACAUCGACGUGGCCGUAAAUUAGACACCGACAAUGACAGUGGAAGCGACAUGAAGAACAGUAAUCGCCUCUCUGAUCUCGGUAGCACGAUUGAGAUGCGUAUGGAGUAAUAACUCUAUUAUUUUUUUUUAUUAUUGUUAUAUGUAAUUUAUUUACUAUUGUAAGUUUUGUUAUAUUUUAUAUAUUUAUUUUAUAUUUUUCUAUUUGGAUUUGUUUCAUUACAAGUAAAAAUAUUUUAAAAUUUUAAUUUUGUCAAUUUUCUAUCUUAUAUAGUAUUAGCCCGCCGCAAUGCGGGGAUAAUUUUACUAAUACAUAUUAAAAGAGAAUAGUUUACAGUAGACUGGUCAUUCUAAAAACUUGCACAAAACUUGUACAAAAUCAAGAUCAAUAAAAUAGCUAAUCACCAAAUUUUCUCUGUUAAGAGAAAAUUAAAAUUAAUUAAUCCUGAUAAUAAUAAUGACACAAAAGUGGCAUCACCACCUCUUGCAUCAAAAGGAGGAGGAGAGAGUGGCAGGUGUAUAAAUAAUAUAUACUUCUUAGGGAGGGACCAUUAAAUUAAAAUUAAAAUAAUCCCACCCCUACAUUUCAGCCAAUCCUAUUUAUUUAAUAAAAAAAAAAAAGUAACGACACUACCCUUCCCAUAGAAAAUUACAUCCCUACCCCCUCCCCCACCAUCAAAAGUAUACACACCCAGCCUCAGUGGCACCUCCGUAAUAAACCCCCAAAGCCGAGGCGAAAUUGAAUGCUAAGGGCAAAUCUAGAUCCUUUUGGUUUGGUCCACGAUAUCCCUGAGCCCCCCCGAAAGCCAAGCGCGAAAUUUCACCAUUUCUUUUUCUUAAAAUAUUCAAAAGUUAACCCCGAGACAAAAGCCGACCCGUAAUAAGGUGCGGACCCGACCGACGCUUUUAAUUUCCGAACCGCCUCAUAAGGGUUUUCUAUGCGGAGCGUUGGUUCGACCGUUCGUCAACCGCCAAAUGAACUGCGUCCGUCGAUACCAUGACAGGUUUUACGAUCCGCGUAAAUAAAUUAUGGGGGCACCCGUACGGAGAACCCGUCUUUCUCUAUUUUUUUUUUUUUUUUUUUUUUUUUUUUUUUUUUGGCUGGUUUGUUUUUAAAUUUAAUUUAUCGGUUUCCGGUUUUGCCCGCGAUGGAGGGAAUGAUGGUGGUGGUCUCGGGGGGCGCGAGGGGUUUAAGACCGUUCCGAGAAAGGGCUCGGGUGUUAUAAUUCCUCUCUCUCUAAAAAGCCACCGAGCGCUUUCUCUCUCUCUUUCGCUCUCUCUCUCUCUCUCUCUCUCUCUCUCUUCCGAGCGCUCUUUGGCUCGUCCAUGGGUGGCCGGANGCCGGGCGCGGAUCGUGCCGCGGGAGCUAGGGAGGCGGCGGCGGCAGAGAUCGCCGGAGAACGGCGGCGCCGACGUGUCUGGAUUUCCUUUUCCUCUCUCUAGGUUUCUCUCCUUGCUUCCUCUGAGCUCUCCUCAAGUGUCUCCCUUCGCGAAUUAGGGUUUCGAUAGCGCCGCGGUUCGUAUGAGCGGUUUUGAGAUGUUCUCUCUGAGAGAAGUGCUUCGGCGCCUCUGUGCUGAGAUCGGGUGGUCGUAUGCAGUUUUUUGGAGGGCGAUUGGGCCCUCUCACCGCAUGUAAGCUCUGAUUUUUCCCAUUUUUCUUCUUGUAUCUCCGAUUUUUUCAGAUUGAUGAGGUAGGGUUUACCUUCUUCUCUUUUAGUUAGUGAGAUGGUUUGAUUUGUUUGCUUUUUAUUGAUUGUCUUGAACAGUUAGUUUGCUUUGGUGAGCUUUCAUUGAAUCCGAAAAGACUCGCCUUUUUUUUGUUUUUGGUUUUUAAACUAAUUUUGGAGCUAACAGAUGGGGUUGUGGAUACACUUGUGGUGUUAAUUACUAACCAGUGAGUAAUAAUGUGUACUUUUUAGUUGCUUUUGCCAGAAAAGACGUACUUUUCUACGGUUUUAUUCUCUAUUAUUGCUAUCAUUAACUUUAAAGGUUUAGAUUUUUUUUUUCUUUUUUUUCAUUUUUUUUUGGUGGGUUGAGGUGGGUGGGUUAUGAAUCGUAAGGUUCUUGUAGUAACCUAUAAGGGAAUAAUAGAGAAGGAAAUAAGUAACUGAUCUCAACAUGAGAAAACCUCUUGAUUUUGUAACGGUUAAAAGAAACACAAUAGAAGAAAUUGCAAUUUAGUUAACCGAAAUUUCAAUAAUAAUAAAAAACUGCCUAAUGAGUUUUUAUUCCUUUGAAAAGUGAGGAAUGAACUUGUUAAAUGAGUCUAAGCUCUAAUUUAGUUGAAAUUAAUUUUUCGCUUGGGCACCGACUGCUUUAGCGCAAGCGGCAAGCUUGAUGAAACUUGAUGGUUGUUAUCAGAGGUUUCAAGUAUGAAGCCUGGUUGCUUCACAUUUUCAGUUAAAUUCAUUUUUCAGAAAAUUGAAUGAAGCAGAAAGUAUGCUACCUUUCUCUCUCUCAAAAAAAAAAAUCGCUUUGGCCUGGUAAGAUGUUUGAACUGUUACAGUUGAGUUGUUCUUAAUGCAGUAUGUACUGUGGCAGGCUUUUGGUUUGGGAGGAUGGGUGCUGUGGACAUACAUCAGGCAUUUUGGGGUCUGAAGCUUCUGAUUUACUACUUGAGGAGCAUGGAUUGGUUCAGAAGUUGCACAACCAACAAGCUGCUAAAUAUGGAAGUCAAACAGAGGAAAGUGUAAAUGCGCUGGUAAGGAAGACGAUGAUGACGCAGGUUCAUGUUAUAGGAGAUGGGUGAGUGCAUACGUUUCAUGCUAACUUCUAUAUUUCAUCCUCACCUUUAGGUUUUGUUUUACAUGUUUUAGCUAGGUUUGUGCUUCAUAGCCUGUUCGGUGUAAACUUAUCGGAUAGUUGUUUUUCAGGAUAGUAGGGGAAGCUGCUUUUACUGGAAAUCAUCGUUGGAUUGUUCGAGAUUCUUUAAAGGAUUAUGGAUCUCUAUCAAAGGUAUAAUUUUUUAUUAACUCUGUUAGAAGUUCGCCAUAUGCUAUUUAUGUUGCCAAAGUUUAAGCUAUUAGAACAUUGCACGCCUUAUUUAUAUGCACACCAAUAUUCAUGUGCAGUACUUCUUUACUUGAGGCUUUUGCUUUUGAGGGUUUAGGGUGUAGAAUUUCAAGAAUUCCUUGUUUAUUCUGCCUUUUGGUUGUGGAUGGAGCUAUAAUGUUUGAUUUAGAUCGCAAAGAGAAUUGAGUAGCAUUUUUUUUUUGCUUCAAUAGGAUGCUGAUGAGAUGAAUCAGCAGUUUGCAGCUGGCAUUCAGGUCAGCAAAGUUCUUCCUUAUUUUUUACCCUCUUCUUGUAAUUAUUUAUAUAUCAACUUAACUCUGAUAAGUUGUUUGUUUUGUAUGUUAUGCAGACGAUCGUUAUCAUUCCCAUACUACCACGUGGUGUUUUGCAACUUGGCUCCACUCAGAUGGUAAGUAAUUCUUUAUGAGCUAGCUUCAUGUUUGAGCUAAAGAUUUUAUGAGGCAUCAAAAUAUUGGGAGAAGAAUGAUGGAUGAGUUUGAAAUGUACAUUACAUUUCUUCUGUUAAAGAAGUUUCAAAUUAUUGUGCUUUGCUUUGCUGUACUAUAUGCCUCUGUGUCAUAGUUGUUAAUAUUGGCUUAUCCUCUCUGCAGCUUAUGGAAAAUGUUGGUUUUUUAAUACACACGAAGAAUUUACUUUCACAAUUAAAUAAUCGAUCAGGGUCUUCAUUUUCAAGACUAAGUUUAGAUACCAAUCCCUCCUUUGUUGAGCCUAUCCUUCACUGCAGUAGACAGCUGGAAGGUGAAACAGUUGGAGCACGUGUAUACACGAAGGCCAAUCUGAGUCUUGGCAAGCAGGGAGUGACUAAUGAUAAUGGAUCUAAAAUUCAGACUCAGCCUUCAGUAAUGGACUCAGAUUUUACUUCUCGCUUAACAUCACUCGAAGAGCAGCUCUUAUUCAUGUCUCAUGAUGGAUUAUUAGAACCUGGAAAUAAUGCAGGAUCAGCAGUACAGGGCACUGGAGCUGUUCGGUUAAUAUUGAAUGGACGUGAUAACCCUAAUUUGCUUGAAGAUUCCAACAUUGUCUCACCACAUUUGCAAAACAAGUUACUGAAUACUGUAGACAGUCUUGGAAAGUUUGGAUCACUUCUACAUGGCAGUAAUGAAAUCACCAGGGUCUUAUGUGCUAAUUCAUCUGGCACAGGGACAAGUCAAAUGAUAGACCAAAGAUACAAUAAUGCAGAGAGUUCACAGCAAAAUCAGCCUUCUUCGCCCUACAGAGUUACUCAAGCUGUUCCGAUUGAGGGGAAUGAGGGGAGACAUGAAAAUGAUUUGGUUGAGGCUGCAGGACUAAGGCGUUCAAUUCAAAAUGAUCGACAAACCCGUUCUAUUGCAAAUUCUAUUGCAAAUGAAUCAAACAAGAUUUAUGCUACUGAAAAUGGGAAUGGCGUGAAGGAUGAGAAUGACUGCAAGCUUUCACAUAUAAGAACAGAGAAAACUUCACUUUUGCCUCUUGAUCGUUCCAUGGAAAGUGAUCUGUUUGAUAUGUUGGGUCCCAAGUUUCGUCAGUUUCAUGAUGGUUCGGAUAAUAGCUUGGGUAUAAAUGCAUUUAUCCACUCGAUUAAGUCUGACGCUUCUCCUGCAUUUGAUUCAGCAAAUGAUGAUUUCUCUCAAUCAGGAAUUUUUUCUGUAGCUGACACUGACCAACUAUUGGAUGCAAUAGUCUCAAGCAUCAAUCCAACUGCAAAACAGAAUUCAGACGACAGUAUAUCCUGUAAAACUUCACAGACAGAUAUUCAUAAUUCUGCUUGUUACGGUGGAUAUGCGCCUUCAUCAGAGGUGAAACAAGAUGAGUUAUCCUACCUUCCGCCUGUGCCUAUCAAGAAUGAGACAGCAAUAUCAAGUUAUGUUAAACCACAAUGCUCUCAUCCUCAGAGUACUGGAGUUCACAAAUCUCAGAUCCAUCUUUGGCUUGAAAGUGGCCAGAACAUGAAAUGUGAUAGUAUGCCGGCUUCAAAUAGUAAAAAACUGGACAUAACUGGUAAGGCAAAUAGGAAGAGAUCUAGACCAGGAGAAAGUCCGAGGCCACGGCCAAAAGAUCGCCAAAUGAUACAAGACCGUAUUAAGGAAUUGAGGGAAAUAGUACCAAAUGGUGCGAAGGUAAUGUGUGUGCUGCUUUUGACCUUCAUCUAUUCAUGUAAAAUUACAAUAAAAUAUUGGUUAUGAAGUUAGGCAGAUAGCCAUACUCGAUUGCACUUAAAAACUACUAUUCGGUUUCUGAUCAAUGAUCAUGGUCGCAAUGUAGUAUUGCAUACUUCUAUAUAUGGUUUGUUCCAUUAUUUCUAUUUAAUUGUUGCCUUUUUUGUGUUAACAGUGUAGCAUUGAUGCCUUACUGGAGAAGACCAUUAAACACAUGCUUUUCUUGCAAAGUGUGACAAAGUAUGCUGAUAAACUCAAGGAAAAGGGGGAGUGUAAGGUUUGUAUGCUUUAAAUUCCCUUUCUCUAAACACAUUUCCUGAUUUGAAUCCAGUUCUCAAUAUGUUAAGGCUUUGGUUCAGGGGCAUAUACAGCUUACGCAACUAUCUUGCUGCAUCAACCUUCUCUCACUACUAAGAGAGCUAAAUAUAAGGCUAUAUUAUCCAUUACCUAUUUGCAAAGUGUGAUUCUUGAUGCUUCUAGAUGGUGUCUUCUUCACCAUGUAAAGCAUUUCAAUGGCUACUAAUGGCUCAUAGUUAUGUUUCAAUGGAGAACAUUGUGCUGACCGUACCUAUAAUUUUAUCGCCUAAAAAGCAUUUCAUAUUCUGCAGAGUAUAAUUGCAUAAUUCACAGAUUUUAAUGCAAUCACUAGUAUUAGGCAUAAAACUUGGCUUUGUACUACUGUUACUUUCAAGGCUAAUUCAUGUGAAGAACUGGAGAAGCAUGCAAAACUUCAGUGUUAUGAAAGCUCACUAAGUAAGAAAUGGUAUUAUGUUAAAUAAGUGAAUUUUUAGAAGGAAAUGUCUUCAUUCUUAAGUGCAGAUAGUUGAUAAGGAUGGUGGUCUGCUCUUGAAAGACUGUUAUGAAGGUGGUGCAACUUGGGCAUUUGAUGUUGGUUCUCAAUCUAUGAUCUGCCCGAUAAUAGUGGAGGAUCUCAACCAACCUCGCCAGAUGCUCGUGGAGGUAAAAGAUGUUCUCUCUGUAUUUUCUUAUUUUUUCCUCCUUAUUCUACGAGUUGUUGCCCUAUUUUUUUUAAGUAUGAUUUACAACCAUUAAUUGCCCAGAAUAUAUGGUCUUUUUGCAGAUGCUUUGUGAGGAGCGAGGUUUCUUUCUGGAAAUAGCUGACUUCGUCAAGGGUCUCGGAUUGACCAUCUUGAAGGGGGUGAUGGAAGCACGUAAGAGUAAAGUCUGGGCUCGAUUUGUUGUGGAGGUAUGUUUAUUUAAUAAUUCAUGUCCUCACUUUUUUGGCUUGGCGCCUGUUGGGUCCCACUGAAGCUUUUGUAAGAAUGUUGUGCGAGUAAACAAUUCAGAAGAAGCAUUAAAAACUUUUUCAGUGAAAGCUUGCCCAUCAGUUUCCUUCUAUAGCAGAGGAAAAACCUCUAAUCAGGUUGCAGAAGCUUUUCCUGUCACAGAAAAAGUUUUAAGAAUUUUUGUUUGCCGAACAUCUGGUUGCCCCUUCUUGGAGGGAGAAGCCCUGACCUUUAACUUGUAAGAGUAAGAUGAAAAGACAAGUCUCCCCCAUUGGCUAAAUUCACACGACCAUUCCGUACGCAGGCAAAUAGGGACGUUACAAGAAUGGAGAUAUUUCUAUCACUUGUUCGCCUGUUGGAACAAACAGCCGGAGGCGGUAUAAUACCAAUGAACGUCAAUAAUGUCGACGCGACUCACACAUUGUUGUGCCAACCUAGUAGUAUUCCCGCAACCGGCUUGUGAGAUUGCCAUCAAUGAGGAGAUCGGCGCUUUAUUCAGCCACUUUAGAGAUGCUAAGAGUGGGAUCGACUUCGCCCUGCCAUGACUAGUGUUUCAGUGGCCAUUAAGGUUUCCCAUUUUGCGGCUUUUUGCACUCUUCUGACUAAUUCUGGGAGCCCUACUUGCUUGAACAUUCGAAUGCUCGGGUUGGCACGAGAGCUUCGUUUUGUAACAUUUCUCGUUGUAAUCUUUAUGUCACUCCUUUUCCAUGUACUAUUUAUUGUUGGAUAAUAGUAGAUUAAUUUUGUUGUAUUUUUACUUUUUUUUUAUCUUUCUUGUAUGGUGGGGCUAAUGUUUCUGGCUAAUGUGUAGAACUAUCAUUUCAAUGCUAAUUUAAGCCUAAACCGCUGAUCUGAUCUGAUCAGUCCCUCGAGUUGCUCUUUCACCCCAUUUUUUCUUUUUUUACCCUUUUUUCUUUGUUGGGUGGAUUGCGAACUCUUGUAUUUACUCAAAAAAGAAAAAAGAACUUAAAAACUGUUGGUGGGGAACAAUAAUUAGUUUGUAAUAUCACAAACUUAAUUGUACGUUUCCAACAAAUGAUUUUUUUUUUACUUUUUUUUUUCACUUCGACAGAGAUGAAGGGUAACAAUUAAUUAAAUGUACAACUAACAUCGGUUAACCAAUUGUGUCUAACAAAUUCGUAUUCUCUGAAUCAAAAAAAAAAAAAAAAAAAAAAAAGCCACUCGAAUUGCCAAAAACAGUAGGAGCGCAUAUUUCUCAACCCUACAAAGUUGAGUAAUGCUUCUAUACUCUUUUUUUUUUUUUUUGUUACCAUUCAUUCACGCGUAUUCAACAACUCAGAUUUAGUUUUUUUAAAAUUGUGACCUGCAAUAACAGAUUAUUUUGGGAGAGGUACCGGUUACCAGGUACCUCAAAAAAGGAUAUUUUUGUCUUUUAAUACAUGGGCAAUUUAGUCAUUUUACAUCUACUAUAUUUUCAAAAUUUUUAUUUUUUUUUUGUUUCCUUUUGCUCUCUCUAUCUUUCCUUUCAAAAUUUGGCAUUUCAUAUAAGGAAAAUUCCAAAUGAGUUGACAAUAUGAUCAUUGAAUUUAAACUUUAAAUAGUAAUAUAAAACUUCUCUAAUUUAAAUUUCACUUUUAAAUUUAAAAUUUAAUAUUAUAUUCAAAUUUAUAUUUUAAAAAUUUAAGUUUCAUAUAAAUACUUUGAAAUAUGGUAAACAGAAAUAAUUGUUUGAAUUCUAAUAUUCUGGUUUAGGUUUGAUUUUGGGUUUCGAAAAAGUGGUCAGUUUUGAAUUUGGAUAUGGACUUUUGAAAUCCGUCGAGUUCGGAAAUAAGUUUUGUGAUUGUUAGUCAGAUUCGAAUUCAAAUUCCUAACUAUUUUUUUUCUCACCAAUAAUUCUAAUCUUUUUAAUUUAUAUGUUUAAAAUUAUAUUUAAAAUAUUUAUUAGCUCUAACAGUUAAAUUAUUAUUCUGUUUAAAAUAUUUAUUAUCUUUACUGGUUGGUUCCAAAUUGUUCUUAAUGUUAUUCGAUUCAAUAGGUUAAAAUCAGAUUCUUGAUAGAAUAGGUCAAAGUCUGAUCAGUCAAAUCAAUCAAUUCAAUCUAGUUUUUAAAUUAUUGAAUUUAAAAUUUAAAUAGUAAUAUAAAAUUCUCUAGAGAAAUCUAAUUGUAGAAAUCUUACUCUCUAAGUUUUUUAUGCAUUACGUUUUAAACUGAUGCGAAUAAACUGUAUUUUAAAUCUUGGUAGAAAUUUAGUUUUUAAAUAGUAAUAUGAAAUUCCUCUAAUUUAAAUUUCACUUUUAAAUUUUAAGUAUUUAAUUUUUAAAAUUUAAAUUCAUCGUAUUUAGAAAUAAAACUAUUUCUAAAAUUUCUAUAAUUUAAAUUAAUGCAUAAUUUGAGAAACACUAAAACAUUUAAAGUAGAUUCCUAAUUAAUGCCUAAUAAUUUCAUAAAUUUGGUUAAUCAAUUAAUUUUCUAAAUUAGUACUAAUUUAUGUAUAAAUUUAGGACCUCAAUUAAAAGUUUCUUUAAAUAUUGUAUUAUUUAAUUACCAAAUUAAUCUUAAAUAAAAUAAAUUUUUUAUAUAUUAAGUAUUAAAGUUAUAUUUUUAUCCUCUAUUAAUCAACGGUUAAAUUUUUUUUUAUUAAAAAAAAAAAAAAGAAAAAAAGUACCGAAUCAUUUCUCUACAAAGUUAUAUAAUUGAGUAGCCACGUGAGCAUGUUCUUGUAGACCCCCUGUUGUAACUGUUGCUCCAUUCGAGAGUUGGAAUAGAGAAUAGUCCCACGCAUCAAUCAAAAUUUUCAAAAAAGACCCCCCGUCCUCUUUUUUUUUUUUUUUUGUUGUCUCCAAUUACUGCUCCUUUCUUUUGGCCCAGCCAACCAAUUUUAAAUGCGAAUCGCUCGGUGGAUUGAUGGGCUCGUUCGUUCGUUCGUUCCCCACAUGUUACUGCUUAAAAACGUGUGCACUUUUUGAAGGACCAAUUACACACACUCUGCCAUCCGAUGAAUACAUUACCCACCCGUACCGCCCCCUUUCUCUUUCAGCUAAAUUUUGCCUUGUCAUAUGCACGCCCGAAUCCGUAUCAUUAAGUUUUUGUCGAUGCACAAUGAAAUGAGUUAUAUAAAACAUAAAAAAUAAAAAAAAAAUAAUACAACAACAUUCAGAUCCAGUAUUAAUAAUGAACGCAAUCAUGUAAUCACUACCGAACAAGUCCUGCAUGUUAUUAAGAUUGUAUAAAAAUCCUGCAACAUUUAGAAUUAUUACGUAUGUCCAAACAGUGCUCUAGCUACAAAUAUACAAUAUUCUCAAGUUCUAUGGACUCAAUUUCCUUUUCUUCUCAAACUCCAUCCCCAAAUUUGUCCUGUCAAAAUAUAAAAAUCCUAUUGUGUGGAGCUAUAUGUCCUUCUUCUUCCUCUUCUUCUUCUUCUUCUUCUUCUUCUUCUUCUUCUAUACACUGCAUCAUCUUUGAGUUCCAUUCCUAAAAUUAAACCACCCAAAUGGUGGAGCACCAAAGAGAAUAAUACCUAGCUAGCUACCACUAUUUUACAAGCCCCCUAAUUUAUAAAUAACACUGCUACAACCAAAACCAUGCAUGGAAUGGAACACACAACCUUGAACUAGGACACAAAAUCUGGCAUUAAUUGAGCAGCAAACCUCUUCCUGCUCUGAAUAUUGAUAUCGUAAGCAUUUGGAGGCUGGGGAGAGUUCACUGCUUGGCUACUGUUGCCGAUGCUGCAAAACUCACCGGCCUCGUUGCCGCUCAUCUCAAUCCUCCUCCCAAAUGGCAUCCCCUCACUGGGCAGGAACGAUGAGUGCGCUCCUCCUGAUAGAGAUAAGUUCUCACAGUGUGGCAGCCCCAGAGUGAGUGACACUCCAUUGUUCGAAUACCUCGGCGCGAAAUUCUGCGAGUCGAACCUCCCCAUCUCGCCCAUCGAAUAAGCACCGUACCCUCCUCCUCCUCCUCCUCCUCCUCCUCCGUUGCUCGUAGCCCCUGCUAUCAGCGAGUGGUAGCUUUGCUCCUCCCCGAUGCUCCUCCCGCUGCUCUCGAUGAACUUCAUCAGCAGCGCGCGGUUGUUCAUCUCGUUGGGCUUCGUAUCGACGCCCGCGAUCGAGUGCGAGGACGACGCGAUGGCCGCGUGAACAGGCUCAUCGCUCCUCAGCUUCUUGAGCUUCGGUUGUUGCCGCAUUGACAGGUCGUCGUCGUAGUAGCUCGGCACGGCGCUGCUCUGCUUCUCCUUGAAGCCUCCCCCCCGCCGCGCAGAUUUCGGUGCGUCCGUCUCUUGCCGAGCCGUCGGUGCGGCGUCGGGUUCGUUCUCGGCGCUGUUGUUCUCUACGCCGGUCUCAGUGUUGCUGUUGCUGUUGUUGCUAUUGUUGUUGUUGUUGUUGUUGUUGAUCUGUUCGUGGUCUUUGGUUUCUUCCAAAUACAUCUCCUCCACCAUCGGCUUCCAGAGCCGCACCCUCGCAUUUAUGAACCAAUUUGAAACCUACAUUCAAUGACAUCUUUUUAUGUUAAUUCUCAAUUUUAGAUUAAUGCAAAUCCCUUAAUUUUUUUUUAAAAAUUUUUUUUAAUAAUUUACUUACCUGGCUCCGAGUGAGACCAGUUUGUUUCGCUAGCAUGAGCUUGUCCGAAUCCUUUGGGUAACUGCAGCAAUCAAUCACUCACGAAUGAUCAGAAGAACGUCUACUGCUGUAGCACUACUUAAAUAUGUUGGGGGUACGUACACCGAUCUAUGGCUAUCAUUAUAGCAAUCAUUUCAUUUGCUUUUAUUCUAAUCUUCGAAACAGAUAGGCCCUUGUAGUGUGGCCCUGUUGCCUAUUAAAAUUUCUUGUCAAAUGUAAAAUUGAGCACACGACAAUUACGUAUAUUUUGAUUAAAUAGAGUUGAUGUGAAUUGAGUGAUUAUCGCGUGCUCAAUUUUGAUAGCAUUUUAGUAGAUGUCCUAAAAGGCAACGAGAAUAUCGUAACCACAAAAUAGUGAAGUGCAGUCGCGUCAAGUCCGUGAACAAUUGCGUGCACUUACGGGUGAAGGAAGUGCUCGAAGAGCCACGCUCGAAGAAUCGAGACGGAUCUCUCGGGUAGCCCUCUCUGCGGCCGCCAUGCGUUGUGCUGCAUCAUUCCGAGCUGCUGGAGGGCCCGUUGCUGCCGGAGGUGGUGGUCGACGAACCGGAGCCUCGACCCCACCGUCUUGGCGUUCUCCUCCCCGAGGCUUUUGCUAGUGGCCCUUAUUUGGCCGGUGAUGGCGUCUCGGAGGCACCGGAAUUGCUUCGAUAUGGUUUGGAGGGCGAGUGCGGUGUACGUUCUCGCGGAACCGCGACCGGCCACGGCUUCGAAUGAUGAGAUCACUAUUUGCAUUUGGUGAUGGUAUUGCCUGUACCUCUGUUCUACCUGUAAUAUAUGAUCGCCGAGGACAAAGAAGGGUAUGAGAAUGAUUAAGUGGUUAUCAUUAUCAUGUAAACUGGGAGGUAAACAUGAUCAGAUUAACAAUCCUUAUUAUGAAACGAGUUAUAUAUGAUGAUAAAGCCUCUUUAGAAACAAGAAGAAACUAAUCAAGUAUAGAACCCAAAAUUUUGAAGAACUUCAAUUUUGACUACCAUAAUUCAUCGGCCUUGGUUAAUUCCCACCGAGUUUUUCACCCUCAAAAAAAAAAAAAAAAAAGAACACUUAAUUUCUAUGAGAGUCCGGCUCACGAAAAGGGCACACUAAUAAAGCGUGGAUUCAAUAGAAGCAUAGAGAACUAAACUUUCAGAUCCUAAUAAAAGUAAUAAAACGAAAAUUUUUGAAUUAUGUUAUAAUUUAAAUUGAAACGGAUUGAAGAGAUGCUGCUGCAUGCUUAAUUACCUCGUCGAGCAUGUUAACAAGCUUGGCCUUCUUCAUCUGAAGCUCCUGCUUCUCCGCGGUCGAGAGCUCGGCCGCCGCUCUCUUCGCGCUCGCCUCCUCCUGCCCGCCGCCGCCGCUGACCGCCCCCGCCUCCGCUCCUCCGUCGGAAUCCUCGCUCUUCCCCUUCCCCGCCGCUGCGUCAUGAGCUGCUCUCCCUCCCUUCCCGACGUUGACCAUCUCGUCCAGCAGCUGCUGCGCCGCCUUCAGGUACUUGGACCCCAUCAGGAAGCUCUGCGCUGCCGCUGCCGUCGCAUUCGGAGCCCCCGAAUUCGGCGUCGCCUCCGCUGCAGACACCGACAUCUCCCGCGAGGACAGGCUCAGCGACAGCCCUUGCUGGUGCGUCGGCGGCGGGGGCUGCGUCCACAGGUUAUACUGGACGCGCCCGGGGACGAGGCCGUGGACCGCCGAGACGUCGUGGGGGGAGGCGCCAAUUGUCGGAGGCGGUGGAUGCGGAGAACGGAUCGGUUCUUGGCCGGCAGCGGCGGGAGAGUAGGCGAAGCUCAUGGGGUUCAUCGGGUUCACGGCGGGGUUGAAGAGGACCAUGUUGGCAGGAGCAGCUGCGGCAGCGGAGGCGUCGGAGUAGCCGACGUAGGCCGGGUUCAUGAGGUAGAGGGUUUGUAGGCUGUCGGUUUGGAUGUCGGGGCCGCCGUGGAAGUACGUCGCCAUCAGAUUACUACCCUAACUAUUACUAUUAUUAUUAUUAUUUAUUUAUUUUAAUAUUGGAGUCGAUCGAUUAAUUGUUUUCACAUAAUCCUCUUUCUCUUCUCUUCUCUUCUCUUAUUUAGAGAGCAAGGGAGAGAGUUUCUGUAGGUACGUAUACUGGUAGGUGGAGAAGUUUAUCUCUCUUUUCUCCUUGAAGAGAUCCAAGAAAUUCCUGCAAAAAAGAGACAAAAAAAGAAAAAAAAAAAUAAGGAGCAUGUAAUAAAAAACCAAGAUGCAUCACAAUUAAGACUACUACAAAAAUUGAGAGACGAAUAAAUUGGUUUGCGUAGAGAUAGAAUAAUAAUAAUACAAACUAAUAGAAAACAAAAUUAAAGUACCAAGUGAGAGCUUAAUAGGCUAAUCCUUAUAAUAAUAACAACUCUCAUGCUCGUAGUGGUAAUAAAACUGAAACUUCGAUGGAAGAGCUUGUGAGAGAAGCUGAAGGGAUGGGGGGUUUUUACAGAAGCUUGAUCUGCUACUAGAAUUUGGGCGGCGGAUAAUCCUUCACAAGGAGAGGCCAUGGAUGAGUUCUAUAGGUUUUGGGGGGGGGGGGGGAGGGGAGAGAGAGAUGGGGAGAGGAUUAAGUAGGAGAUGUACGUAGGAGAGAGGAAAAUAAAAAAGAUAGGGAAACAUCUUCAUCAAGUGAUAUAAUUAAGUAAUACAUAUCACUGGCAAUACCUGAGAGAAUGGAAACCAAAAGCACGUGGGGAGUGAUAUAAGAAUUGGUUUAUGAGGAAUUCUCUCUCUCUCUCACUCGCUCUCUCUUUCUCUCUCUCUUUUUCUCCUCACACUUGUAUAGCAGGCUCUCUUACAGUGACCAAAGCCCAUCAGAAAAAUCUUUCUCAAAGAACAAGUAGAGGAAGAGGAGACUUAAGAGAUAUAUUGGUCUCACUUACAAAAAUAAUAAUAAUAAAUAAAGUAAGAAUACAGCAAAGGGAAUUGCAAUUAUGGAAGAUAUCUUAGACUCAUGUCAGAGUCUUAUUCUGCAACCCCCUCUCUCUCUCUCUCUCUCUCUCUCUCUUUCUUUCUUUGUUUCUUUCUUUUCACUCCAAAUGAAAAGGAAAAAAGAAAAUGAGGAGACCCAUUUAAUAAAGACUAGGAGGAAAUAAAAAGGAAGCAAAAGGAGAGAUACCCACCUUUCACUUCCAUUAUCCACACAACACCUCUCUCUUUUUCCUUCUUUUUAGUUUUUUUCUUCUUCUUUUCUCCCUCUCUUUUUUUUUUUUUUGCCCUUUAUAAAAAAAUGACUACUAUUUUGGUGUUGUGGGUACGAGGGGUGUAGCUUAGAUAGCAUGAGGGGGGAGGGUGCAUAGUGUGGUACCUGCGAGUGGAUCAAAAGAAGGCAAUUGGUCCAGAUGAUUUGACCCCUCUUUUCCUUAUCAUUAGAUGCAGAAGCCUUUGAUGAAGAGAGAGAGAGUGAGAGAGAAGGGGUGGGGGGUGGGGGGGGAAGAGGCCCAUCUCAUGUGUUUGUGUUGUGUGUGAGAGAUGGAAAGAGAGACAUGGUCACAUAGAUAGAUAGAGAUAUAGAUAUAUUAUUCCACACAAAAGCACAUGCAUAUAUUUAGGAGGUGUGUGUGUGUGAGAGAGAAAGAGAUAUAUAGAGAGAGAGAAAUAGAAACUGUUUAAGAACUGACACAAGUGUCAGAGGGAACAAACAGCUGAGGAACGAGGAAGUGUCCACCUCCAAAGAGUCUGAUUUAAUAUGUGUGUAUGCGUGUGGAAAAGAUUAAAGGUGGAAAAUAAUUAAAAUAAAAGAGAGAGAAAGGCCGGAGUUUCCUUUCUUAAUUAUACUUCUUCUUCUGCUUCUCCUUCUCCUCCUAUUGAGAGCCCUUUUCAUCAGCUUCUGUGUCCAGAAAAAUAAACAUCUAUUUUCCUUUGCGUGUUGUGAUAUCUUCUUUGUCCUUUCUUAUUUUGUUUAUUAUGUAGCCUUCUUUCUUUUUUUUUUAUUUUUUCUUUCCCCCUCCCCCCCUUGUAGCUACCUUAUCUUAAUAUUUUUUGUGGUUGGAUGCUGGGUUUGGAAGAUAAAGCAAUUGAAAGCUAAAGAACCCAACCAACCACCACCAUUACACCUACUAUUAUAGAGAGAGAGAGAGAGAGAGAGAGAGAGAGAGAGAGAGAGAGAGAGAGAGAGAAUACUAUAAGGACAAAGCAACAAAAUUAAAGGUUAAAGUAUUAAACAACCAGGAAUUAGAAUUGAUACUUGGUGAGUCAUCCCAAUUAAUGGAGCUUGCUUAUGUGUUUAAGUGGCGGAAUUAAUAGUGCUCAAGGUAAUUAAGGAGCAUCCAUUCACUGCUCAAAAGAGAAUAGAUUGACUGCAUCCGGUGAAGAUCAUUUGUUGAGUGAUUGAAACUUCUUUAAACACACGCAAUCGUGCGCGCAAAUUAAAUUUCCACGCAUGAAACCCGUUAGAAAAAUCACUUGUUUCACAGCAUCCGAGCGAAUAUUUUUUUUACUAGCUAGUUAAAAUUAAAUAUCUCGUCAUUGCACAUAUGCUAUUCUGUGUCCUAUCAUUCAUUCUAUGCCAUCCCACUAUGCCUAGUUAUGGUUUGCACUUCUUUUUCAGGAAAGGGACCUAAGAAAGCAAGCCAAAGCUUGAAUAUAUAUAUAUAUAUGCCUGAUUCUUGAAGUUGAAACCAUAUAUGUAAUCUAUAAAAUAUAGGGGAAGUGAGGGAAACAGAAGCAGCAUGUGAUCUUAUUUCCUCAUCUCAAAAUCAUCACAUCUUGCCCAAAAUGAACAAGUAAAUUAAAAAAAAAAUUUAAAAAAAACCAAAGAAAAAAUGUUGUAGUAGAAUAAUCAUGUGACAUAAAUUAAGGAUCAUUCCUUCAAUGAGGAAGUGUAACAGAAAAUUAAUUGGGGUGGCUAGUGAAAUUUGGAUCUGUAUAACUAUAUAUGUCAGGAUGUGGCAUGUUUUCCAUUGUUCUCUUGUGUUAUUGUUUCUCUUGUGCGGCUCCAACAGUUGUAGAUUCUUAAUUGGGCACAGCUAGAAGAAAAAGGGAGUACAAUAACUAGCAAUAAUUGAGAGCUUUUUGGCCUUAGAAGAUCUUACUUUCCUUCAGGACUAUGAUGCAUUCAGUUGGUUUUUAGCUAGUAGGUUAAUAAUACUACCUUGGAUUUAUCUACUUUGAAGGGUAACUGGUACCACUAUACUCUCGUCAAUAAUAUUGCUUUUGAGAAAACUUAACUAGUGUCUCAAAUUAUUUCAGAUAAUACAUUAUGUUUUCUGAGGAGAAUAAUUUACAUAUAACUACUAAUUUAGCAGUACGAUAUUAUCGAUGAUCUUUGCAAUGACAAAGAAAAUAAAAACUCAGUGUUAAAGUGACUCAAGUUAAGUUCCAUAAUCAACUAUAACUGUUAGUCAAAUAAAAUGAACACUACAAAUAUUCAGGCGCCAUUAUUAAUUCGUGAGAAAUGAAGUUAACAAAAAAAAAAAAGAAAAGAAAAAGAAAAAGAAAAACAGCAAUGUAAUUUUCUUUCAUAAUAUUUCUCAACAUGCCUUUUUUCUGAGCUGUGAAGUUUUUCUGGAAGAGAAUAUUUUUAGAUAAGGAAGUCAAUUGAUUGAUGCAUUUAUUAUGAGGAUAAGGCAGUCCCAUCUGGCCUACGCAGAAUUAUUGGUUAUGAACAUUUAGAAUAGGAAUUUGUUGAUUAGUUCACAUGAUAUAUAGUACUCUCAUCAGAUCUUCUAAAUGAUAUCAUUUAACUACAAUUAUCAAAAAGAUAUAUUAGUUCUUGUUAUUUUAACCAGAACUUGAGAACUGUAAAGAAAACUAUUAGAUAUAUCAUGACAAAACUUGUAUUGAACUUGUGUAGAUUAAUUACUUAUUAUUUUGUUAUGGUUCAUUUGAUGAUGGAUUUAUAUCCCCUCUCUUCAAGGAUAUAUAUUACUGCAUGCUGUUGUAAGUUAUUGUUUUGGAGUAAACAGUUCGAAAUUUACGUCGACGGUCGACUUGUUCAGCUGAAAGGGAGAAGCUACUGUUGUUCUUCCCAUAAGAAGGGUUAGAAACAAAGUUUUUGGGAUUUAGCGGGGGAAAGGAAUCAAAUGAGGGCCCUCUCCACCUUAGCAAGAGAAAUGUGGGUCAAUCAUAUGUGAAGGUUAGAUAUUCCUUGUGUACCACGUCAUCGACGGGCUGAGCCAAUAGAAGACAAAGAGGAUUAUUAGUAAUUAUUAAUUAGAACAAGGAAACAAAAAAAAAAACAAAAAAAACAAAAAAAGGAAAAAAGUAAAGUCCCAUGUAUACAGUGGAAUUAGUACCUAUUGCAUGAGUAGCUCCAAAGUAUACAAUGAAAGUAACUAAUACUUCUACAAAUGAUCCGGAUUCUUUAAAGAAGUCCUUGCAUAGACGCAAUCGUCAUCUCUGGAUAUUUAUUUCUUCCUGAUGAGUUGCAACCACAUAUGUGAUCCUAAUUGUGCUUCCCACUUUCAAUAUGGUGAAUUCCCCACAUUGAUACCUUUUUUCUCUUUUUCUUUUUCCUUUUCUUUUGUUUUUUCUCCUCGCCCCUCUCCCUUCCCCAACCCACCAUGUAUGUACUUUAUCUUUUAUCUUCUCUUUUUUGAUAAUUAUGGCCACUACUAUCUCCAAGCUUCUCAAUCGACACGAUAAUGUUUGGAGAAUUUAGAUCCAAUCAAAAACCACAAUUAGCCCAAACGAUUAAGCUUAUAUUGAUUUGAACACAAUAAUCUAUAUCAAUUCCUUUGAAUCUCAACUAUUAUUUUAUGUGAAACUAAUCAUAAGUGAAUUUCUGAUGCAUAGAUAGUGAUACGUACAAACAACCGACAUAUUAGUGACACGUAAGUUUGUAGCAGAUAUUUUCAAGAAAUAUCAACUGCAUGCUCAAUUAAAUUCCACAACCCUAGACAAGAUAUACAUGUUGCGUAAUUUAAAUGGAUCGCACAUUAAUCUUCUCUUUUUUCCCCACUGAAAUGUUAUUAAAUCAUUAGAAUUAGAAAUAGAAGAUUUGAUUUAGAAAUCUAAUGAAAUUUAAGACAGGCAACGAAACCAAGUAAUUUUUGUUACCGACAGAGCAAAUAGAAAAGGAUAGUUAGGUGAUUUUACUUUUAGAAAAUCAAAUAAACACGCUCAUGUUUCAACUAUACUUCCCGAGAACAAAUUAAAUAUGCGAUCCAUUAAUGUCAACAUCGAACUAAAAAUCCUAGAAAAAAGUGAAGCUGAAGAACCGUCCGAACUUACGAAGGGAAUACAAUUAAUCAAAAUAUGACAAGCGUGUAACAAUGACUCAAUAGCUCUUCACUGUAAAGGGCCUACCUUUUACAGUUGAAAAGUUGUAGCCUUGAAUAUAGAUGCCCUCGUUGAUGGCUCCAUUAAUUCUCGACUCUAAUCUUACUUUCGGAUACCUUCCAUUGUGGAAAAGUCGCUUAUGAAUCCCAACACAAUUAAGCAUCCACUUAACAACGACUUUUAAUCAUCUAAUUAAUUAGGCCUCUAUUUUGGUGCACUCAUUCUUUUUUAUUAUUAUUAUUAUUUUUUUUACACAAGUACGUACUGCACUUAAAAUGUGCGUACGUGCAUGGGAGAAAACAAGGUUAGGUACUUAAUUAAUUCUUCUAAGGUGAGUUUGCCAUGAAUUUCUACCUGUAACUUCGUAUUGUACAGAGCAAUUAAUUACAUAUAUAGUUUCUUUGUUACUGCAGGAAUACGUACAGCUCCGUAGUAUGACAAUUUUCGGUCGGUGUACUAGGAUAAUAAAUUUGGUUCAGUAGUUGCAUGGUACCUAUCUUUAAAAGUCUCUCUCUGUGUAUUAAGUACUUGUAUUGCCCAUGCCCGAUUCUAUGCACAACAUGGAAAUUACAUGCGUACGUAUUCAAUUGCAUCAUUGAACGGUCGAUACAAUUCGUAGAGACGAUGAUAAGUAAAACAGAGCGAUAUCUACGAAUAAAUUGAUUAACAUGUAUUGAACUGAGAGAACAAGUCGUACAUAUUACAUAUUCGAAUCUUAAAGUGGCGUGAACGGUGUUGAUGCAAUCGUUAUUGUGGCUUAGGAAAGAAAUCGAUCAUAGACGAUCGAGCCCGAACGUUACGUAUGGGCGCGAAGUACAAGAAACGAAGUGUGUCCAUAAAAACAGUGAGCGGUUGAGGAGCCGACACGUAGCCCACCAGAUCCCACUGAUUGAUUCCGGAGCUUCGUGGGUCCCUCCCGGCCCUUUUUCACUACGGAGAACUUGGGCCAUUUGCAGGGGCCCCCUCGGACUUUUUGCUCAGACACCGUGGUCCACCCUCCCGCAACGUGUCGUUCUCUGUGGCCCCUUACGUCGUCCUCCCACACGGUACACCGGAAACGCAGGCCAUUAGUCGUCCGACGCGUGUAAGAUCGUGUGUAUUGGGGUCUUGGAGUGCCCGGUCGCAUCGGUGUUUGGUGCGUCGGCGUUUGUAGGGGAUGGGGAGAGCGCUCCCGCGCCCGCCUCAGCGAGAGCGGAAAAGGCGACGGGGGCGGGGAGGAGGUGGGGCCGGGGAGGAUUCGGUGGGAGCGGGGCCCACCGGGGGGUGGUCGUGUCGGGGUGGGCCCGGGGGCGUCACCAUCCGCACGUGUGGGGCCCACGUGGAUGCGCAAAGGUCAAAGCGUCGGCCAAUCAGAGGAGAGCGCAGCGGGUGAAGGCAACUUGGAGCCCCCGUCGCUGUCGGCACGGAAGCGGCGGGCCCCACAGGCCCCGCCUCCUCCCAACCCCCCCUCUGCCCGUUCUGCCCGUUAAAAGUUAAUUAAUUACUCAAAAAAUUUAUUUCGUUUCUUUUCUUUGGAGACGAUACUAUUCAUAUAAUUUCAAAAUAAAUAAAUUAUAUAUCUGACAAAUGUAACAAAUAAGAUUUCUUUAUUAACCAUAUUGAUGUGACCGAUAAAAUAAUAUAUCUAUAAAAUAGAUAAAAUAUAUAGCAUACAACCAAAAGAAUGUAUCAAUUAUUUAUAUAUAAUUCAGAGUCCGAAUGCUAUAUUAUCGGUAAUAUAAAUGUAUUAUUUAUAUUAUUAUUGAAAGUAUUUGAAAAUUAAAUUUUAUAAUUUUUCGACAUUAUUUACUUAUCAAACAAAUAAUCUAAAAAUAAAUGGUUAAAAAUAAAAAUUUUAUAAAAGAUAAUGAUAAAAUUUUUAAUUUAAANGAAUUUUAACUGUUAAAAUUAUCAACUACACUACACAAACACUUAAAUUGUCACACUUCAUUAGUUUUAGAUUGUUUAAAAAAUAUUUUAAAAAAAAUGAUAAAUCUCAUUCUAGUCAUAGAGACUAAAAACAAUAGUUGCACUUUCGCUAUCUUAUAGGUUCUUAACAUUUUGAUCGCUAGCCAAAUAAUGUCAAAAAAUUAUGAAAUAUAGUUUUCAAAUACUUUCAAUAGUAUAGAUCCAAUUUAAUGGAACCGAUCGUUGAUUAAAAGCCGCAUCAUUAAAACAGCUUGGUAGCACAGAGACCUCUGUGCUACCGAUAGUACGUAUAGCAGCCUAGCUCUAUAUAAUUUUUAACUAUUUUAUAAUGAUGGAGAAAAUAAUGUAAUAUGUAAUAUAUUAAAAUAAAAAUAUAUAAAAUGUAAUUGAACUAUAAACUAUUUUGAAUCUAUUAUUUUAUCUUCUAAAAAUUUAAUUUUAUAAUUCAACCUUUAGAUUUCAAUCACUCAAUAAUAUUUUCACUUCAAAAUUUAAAUUAACUUUUUAUUUUAAUUAAUUUAGUUAUAAAAAUUGCGUAAAGUAUAUGGACUAAACUUGUAAAGGUAAAUAGUGCAUUAAAAUUUUAAAAUUAAAGUAUUAUUGAUUCAAAUUAAAUAAAUUGAAAGAUUGGAUAUCAAAAAUUAAAAUUAUAAAAAAUUGGAUAGUUUAUACAAAAUAUUUGAUAGUUUAAAUAAGUUUGGUACAUUUUUACCCAUAUUAAAAAUGGCAGCAACUCUAUGGCUUUGCAAGGACUUUGCACAGUAUGAAAACUAACAUUAGUGUGACGUGCAUUUUCUUUUUUCUUUUUUCGUUUAAUUGAACACAUUACACGAUUUAGUAGUUACAAAUCUUCUUUUAAGUGAAAUGUACAAAUUAGUUUGAGCUUUUACCAAGUAAAGAGACACUGAACACAAUUAGUUUGUUACAAAUCUUAAUCAUUUCGGGAGGGGUCUAAAAUUCAGAUAAAGAGUAGGGGUGGCAAUCUAAUUCGCUAUUCGCGAGUUGGUUUGCGUUCAGCUCGAAAUCGAAUCGCUUGUUUAGUAAAUAAGCCGAACACAAGCUGAAUUUUUCAUCUUGUUUAAUAAAUGAGCCGAACACGAGCUGGGAUCAGCUCAUUUGUGUUCGGCUCGAUAACAGAUUGAAUAUAUAUUUUAUAUUUAUAUAAUUUAUUUAAUAUAUAUAUAUAUAUAUAUAUAUAUAUAUAUAUAUAUAUAUAUAUAUAUAUAUAUAUAUUUUUUUAUUUUGAUUUUUAGUAAAAAAAUAUAAAGUCCAGCUCAAUUAUAAAAAGAUUUAUUAUAUAUAAAAUUUCAACUAUUUAGAUCAAAUUUAAUGAGUAAGAUUUUAUAAAUUUAUAUAUCCAAUCUAAUUCAUUUAGGUAUCAUUUGGUUCGGGGAUAUGUAAAAGUGGCUAUUCCAGGGAUAGAUAUAAAUUGAGAUAUAAGCGGGGAUUAGAUCAAUUUUGUGUUUGGAUGAAAAUUUGGUUAUUCUUGGAAAUAAAACAAUAGUGUUUGGUUAGAUAAGAUGGAAUAAGAAGGAUAGUGAGUUUUAUAAAUAAAAAGUAAUGAUUUAUCCUCUUUAUAUUUGAAUUUAAAUUUUUAAAUUUAUAUUUUUAAAUUUAGAAUUUUAACUUUGAAAGUUUAAAAUUUGAAAUUUUAAAAUCUCAAUUUUAAAUUCAAAUUUUAAAUUUUAAAUUUCAAACUUUAAAUUUAGAUCAAAUUAAAUUUGAAAAUAUAAAUAUCAAAUUUUAAAUUUCAAAAAUUUAAAAUGUCAAAUUUAAAAUUUGAAAUUUAAAAUUAUAAACUUUAAUUUGAGAUUAUAAAUUAUAAAUUUUAAAUUUUAAAUUUAAAUUUUAAUUUUUAAAAUUUUAAAAUAAGAAUAAGGAUGGAACAAUUAAUAAAAAUAAUUUAUUAUAAUAAAUUUAUAAUUUUUUUUUAAAAUUCUACUUAAACUUAAAUUUAACAAAAAAAAUUAUUAUAAUAUUUAAAUAUAAUUUAGUAUAAAUUUUAUUAUAAUAUUUAAAUAUAAAUAAUAUGUAUAAAUAUAGUACAAUUAAUAAUUUUAUAAUAAAAAUAAUGUAUUAUAAUUUAUAACAUAGUAUAUUUAUAUACUUUAGUUUUAAUUCAAUUUAUAAUUUUAAUUAAGUUUGAAAUUAAGUAUUGGAAUAGCACUAUUCUACCAAAAUGGUGGAAUAGCAAAUCUCUUGCUAUUCCGGGAUAAUCGGGAAUAGCAAGGUUUGACCGGGAUAAAAUAUCUCGACCAAAUUUCAUCCCGUUUGGCAGAAUAGCAGGGAUAAUUUUCGUUAUCCCCGCUUAUACCCCCAACCAAACGGGGCCUUAAUUUAUUGUUUAUUGGCCAGCUCGUGUUCGGCUCGUUUAACACAAGCUGAAUUUUUCGACUCAAUACUUUAAUGAGGCAGUUCGUGUUCGGCUAGUUGGCAUCCUAAUAAAGAGGCACUGACUUAAGGGGAAAAAAAAAAAAUCCCAAAUCCUUGAUACGAGAGGAAUAACUACUUGGAAUAGAAUGGGGGCAGGGGAAUAUGGAGUAUGUUUAUUCCUGCUGAUGGUGAUGAGAUGACUCUUGUUGGUAAUGUGUGUUUUUAAGUACAAAUAAUUUAUCCCACGGAGUUACAGGUGAUUCCUAUCAAUUUUGUGAGAGCAAUGAUGAGAUGAACCUUAAACUUUAAUAAGGUUCCAUAUUGUGACCUUUGCUGUUUAGAAGUGGAGAGGGACUCCAUCACGUGAGGGGCCAUAGAGCGCACGUGAUGUCCUUUUCCUAAGGGGAAGGAUUUUUUCGUGCGACUUUUUAUUAUAUUUUUUUAAACAAAUGGAUAUAUAUAGCACAAGAAAGCGCAUCAAAAAUUAGUAUUGCUCUAUCCUUUAUGAUCUUAUGAUGUUUACAAUUAGUCAACUAGAAACAAAACUUCACUGUUUGAUUUUGUCCAUCAUUACGUGCCAUCAUUUAAAGAUAGUAUUAUUACAAAUAAACAUAUUUAUUUUAUUCUAAAAUCUAUAUAUCGAUCACAUGUUAAUCGAUAACAUGCAGAAUAUCUUAUCAUUUUAAUGGUAUCUCUAAUUUAUCAUUAGGAUAGAAUCCUCCGUGGCAGGACAUGGGAUAAGAAGGAGCUAGGUUGAGUGUUCCAAAUGCAAUUGAUCAAAGGGCUAGGCAGAUCAAGAAGGGGAACAAUCUUAAUUCAAUUCCUGCGAGAAAAUUUUCACUGCAAAUUUGUACACUAAAGUCUAUUAGAGCUAGCAAAGCGUCAAAAAGAGAAAAAAAAAAAAAAGAGUUAGAACUACGACCAAUUUUAGUCGGAUCAAAUAUUUUAAGUCUAUUAAUUUCUCUGUUUAUCGAUCGCUCUCUUUCUGCAACAGACACCAAAAUGAAUGGAAGAAGAUCCCUAAUGAAUUACACAUCUAACGCUGAAUGUGAUUUUUUAACUAAAAUUGCACUUGAAAACUAAAGAUAUUUAAAAGCUAGUGUUAAAGAAAAUCUUCUAACUAGUCUAUAAAUGCAUGUGCAUGCAUUUACUUUAAUUAAACGAAAGCGAACUUAAUUAGUAGGGCCCUCAACGAAUAGGGGGGGACGUAAGUAGACGCUUUAUGAUGACCACCUCAAUUGGAUUCUAGUCAUGUUUACGGUCUAUAAACAAAUAAUGAUCUGAAAAUUUUUAUUAGAAAGAAAAAAAAUAAAUUACUGAAUUAAUCGUUUCUUAGUCUAUUAGGAAACAAAACAUUGUUAAUUAGCAUAGUGUUGGUGAAUAUUAAUUUGUCGUCCUCGUGGCUUCGAAGGUCUAAAUUAGUUAGAAAGCCUUAACUGCAUAAUUACACCUCAGGAAAUUUAUUGUAAAUUAAGAUCAAUUAGUUCAUGAUACUUCUCCUCCACUUCAAAUUAAAGAUCACGAAGCAAAUUAAAGUUUCUUUUUCUAAAAAAAUUCAAGAUCCAAUAAUACAAUAUUUCUUCCUUUCGGAUAUUAUUCAAAUAUAUUUUUAUUUUAUUUAUUUGGAUGGUAAUUUUUGAUUGGUGAUAGUACUCACUUUAAACUACAUGUCCCCCCACACAAACGACAAAACGUACGAUCAUUAAUUAAUUACAAUAAGGACAAGAACCGCUUUGCAAACGUUAUCGAUCUUAUGACUGUGAUGGACCUGAAAGUCUGAAACUACAGGUUUUUUUUUUUUUUUUUUUUUUUUUUUUUUUUUUUUGGAGAGAGAGAGAGAGAGAGAGAAAGAAAUAGCAAGCUAUUCAUUUUAAUUUUAUUUUUUAUAAUAAAUUUAACUACAAAUAUAAAAUAAUUAAAUAUUAAAUUUAAGACCUCAGAUAUUAUGCUUAGUAGAGUUGGUUAAAACUACAUUAACAUUGAUCACUCGUGUAGUACAAAGAGAAAAAAAUUUAAUUUUUAUACACGUAAUGUGGGCCCUUAAUUUUUAAAGAGUUUUUUACUUGUUUCCUUUGUUCUCAUUUAUGUAUCCGCAUAAUGUACUAACCAACUAUCUUUUAUAUAUGUUUUUAUUGAUUUGGCUAACUCCCUUAUCGUUUGAAUGAUUGAUAUAUGUCGGGAUGGAAUUCAAUUUAGCUUCAUUUUUCGUCGCUUAUCUUGAUUAUUUUCGAUAAUUAUAUUAUGAAUUUUAAAACAAAUGCAUGGAUAAUUUGCUUCAUGUUUUAUAUUGAAUGAGUAAUUAACAUCACAACUUGCUCAUUAUCUUAUAUCAAAAUAUGUUGGCCAAAUAAUUUUUCUAUCGGAUUAUAUUGCUACGAUGAGUAGGUACUAAGCAAUUAUGAAUUUUGGGUCAUUUUGUUUGGUUGGUUUUUGUUUUUUUUAAUCAAAUUAUUUUAAUAUUAGUUGACUAAUUGGUGAAUGAUAAUGAUAUCACCCACUACUAUUCAUUUGGAGUGUACAGUAGCACGCCAAAGAGUGUACCAAGAGGAGUCUAUUAUUAUGAACAUAAUAAUAAUAAUAAUGGGAAAAAAGAGUUAGUCACAUUCUAAGGGUGUCACAUUAAUAGACGUUAAGGAAUUGAAUUUACAUAUAAAAUUGACUUGCUAGUCUAAUUAGCUUGGCUUUAACAUUAGAAGACACAGAGUUGAUAAAACUAUGUAGACCAUUUUAAAUUAAUACUGCUACUGAUAUCGAUAUACUCGCUAUAGUAUAAGAAACACUUCAGAUAUAUGUCCUCUUGCUUCAAUUGUUCUGCAUUAGGUAAAUGUAGGUAUAGUAAAUUUUUUAGAGAGAAAAAUGCCUGAAGCAGGCAAUUUUAGUCAGGGACGAAGCCAGAAUUCAAUCACGAGAGGAGGCAAAAUAUGUAUAAAUAAAAAUUUUAGUAAAUAGAUAAGAUUCUAACUACUCAAAUUUUUAAUAAAAAAAUUUAGUAAUUAGAUAAUCAAUGUUAAAAAUAUUAAAUUUAUUUCAUUAUUUGCACUCCCUUAACUUCUAAUUAUUUUAUUUACAUUAUUCUAAUCAAAUAGUUUAAGAAUUUUACUAAAUCUAAUAGUAAUUUAGUUAGAAUUUAUUUUUUUAAUUUUUGUUAAAUAAAAUAAUAAAAAUCAAUGAUUAAUAUCUAAUAGAAUUAUUAAAUUUAGCAUAAUAUUUUAUUUAGUUAAAUAAAUUAGCUUAUCAAAAAUAAUUAGAAAGGUAAAAAUGUAUAAAUAAAAAUUUUAAAGUUGAAAGAACUUAUUUUAAAAUAUACUAUAAUUAAGAGGUUCUUAGCGUAUUUUCACCUAUGAAACAUAUAAGAAAAGAGAGCUCUAUACUAGUACUAAAAUUUUUUUAUAAACCGACCGUUCCUAGAGCAAGUGGCAAAAGACUUAGUGGUUGGUACUCGAGACCCAAGUUCGAAUCCUAGUUGAUUCACGUUUCCAGCUAAAUUUAUUUCUAAAUGAAAUAAACAAAGCGGGUAGCGUGCUACCUAUCUCUCUCAAAAAAAAAAAAGAAGAUAGGCUCUAUAUUUUAAAAAUUAAUUAAAAAUUUAUAAGCUAUCAAAGGACUAUAAAGUAAAGGGUGCCAUGGCCCCGUUGGGUCUAUUAAUAGUUCGCAUAAGCAUUUUUAUAAGACUCAAAAAUAUCUUGCAACCGAAAAAACGGAAGAACUACGACUUGCAUUGAAAGAGUGAUUGGUGUAUAAGAUUUGACAUAUCAUUAGCCGCCAAUACUUUAUAUUUAAGCAUUUUCAUUGUAGGUCAGAACAAGCUUCUAAUAUUAAUAAACUAGCUAUAGUUAAGUCCUUACAUAUAAUAUCCUAACUUCUUUUCAGAUAGCGUAAUUUAAAAUCAGACGUAAGUGCGUGAUAUUUGGAGCAGUUAUGGGAGGAUCCAACAUGUUUUAAACUAGUUAGUAAAUUCAUCCUUUAGGAUCCGAAUGAAAUAAUUUGAAUUAAAUUUUGGUGGAAUUUGAAUCAAAAACUGGAUUAUAAAAUUACCAUGUCCCUCAAUAACUCAAUUAUACGUAGUUCCCUACACUUGCACUCAACAAGCAAUCGAGAGAGCUUUAUGUCAAAGCAUUAGGCAACACGAAAUAACGAGCCACUUUAGUUGAGAGUUGAGACUCCUCUUGAACUUAUUGUAAUGGGUACCCCAAAAUGUUCCUCACAAGCUACCUAAACAAACCAAGUACUUGGAACUUUUUGGACUAAAAAUCAGCGUCGCAAUCACACUAACUCGCUAGUGGGGAAACGUCAUUUGCUACGUCAUUAUAGAUGUUGCCAUUUUUUCUUUACUUAUUUAUUUGCGGUGCCAACCUUCCAUGGAGCGUAAUCGCCACGUUAUCUCCAUCAGAGAGAUAUUUUUCUUCCCCAGGUCGUACAAAAUGUCUAACUUGUGCCUAGUAUUUUUUUUUUUAAAUUUAAUUUAAACUUUCGAAUACUAAUCAUUAAAUCUUCAGUCAAAUAGUUUAGAUAUAAUUACUAUGUGGUUCAAUAAAGACCAAUUUACAUAAAAAAUUCAUAAAUGUAGAGCUUUUGUAAAAUUGAAUCAUCUUUUUUUAUUUUUCAGAUUCGGAUCGAAUUUUUAUCAAACUGACCGAAAUACUUUUUUCCCUCUCUCUCUCUCUCUCUCUCAUUUUCUCUCGUUCUUUUUUUUUUUUCCCUCUCCAAAGAGAGAGGCGGAAGCGGAGGCGGCCCACCACACAGCAUGGAAGUGGGUUUGAUGGUUGAAAAGUUUGCUGCGGUGAAAGUGGAGGGGGAGGUAGGUGGCAAGGGGCCACGAAGACGAUGGAGGAGGUUCGAAGAGAAAAAAAAAAAAAAAAAAUCACGGUGCAACCUUGAUGGGGUUGGAGGCAAGGAGGGCCGAGGGUGAGUGGGUGCGGGUGCAGGCGAAAGCGCAUGGGUGGAGGUGAGGAGGGGCAUCCUAAAGGGCGGUAUCGAGCGCAGUUUUGGUGGGGUCGGAGGCGAAGAGGGCGGGCCAUGUGCGAAUGCGGGCGAGGGCACGGUUGACAAAGACAAGGCGAGACGCCUUCGCCUCCGCCUCUCUUUUCGGAGAGGAAAAAAAAAGAUGGCCCAGUUUUGCAAAAGCUUAAAACUUGUAAAUUUUUUAUGCAAAAUAGCCUUCAAUAAAAAAAUUAUACUAUAUAUAUAUAAAAUAAGGCUAGAAUACUAUUUAAUAGCACGGAGUCAUUGGUACUAUUAAGUUUUUGGUCCUUGGAUGAAACAAUGUGCGAUUAGGAUGAUAGUGAUCCUCUAGAAUUAAGUGAAUGGUUAGUUGAAUAGUAUAAUCCAACGGGUGAAAAUGGUCAAAGAAAUAGAUCUAACGGUGAAAAUUUAUGAAUACAAAAGAGUCAAUACUCAUAAGAGUACAGUAACGGAACUCUCUUUCUCUCUCUCUCUCUCUAUAUAUAUAUAUCCAUGUACGCUUUUGCUAGAACUUUCACUUGCGUACUUAAUCCAAUCUAGAUGUUUUAAUUCCUUGUAAUUUUUUCUUUACUUUUUUCCUUUUUUUGAGAGUAAGAUAGCUUGUUUACUUGCUUCACUGAAAAUGUGAAUCAAUUAGGAUUCGAGAUUAAAACCUAGAAUACUAACCACCAAAACCUUUUACCACUUGUCCUAGAAUAAUCGGUAUUACUUGUUAGAUUUCAAUAGUCUAAUUUUGUCCAUAAACUCGGAAUGUUGCGCACAGGUUUGGGUGCAAAUUUUGGGUCAAUUUGAGGCAAUAUAUUUGUUGAAUAUGUAUGCUGAAUCAGAAUCGGAAUGCAUAAAUUUUAAGAAUCCAAUUUUAUCUAAAAUUUUCGAUUGAAAUAGUGGAAGGUUGGAUUUUGUCUGGUUCGCUAAGAUCAAUAGUUUAGAUGCCAAAUGGACGGGCUUAUAGAACUAUUUAGUACUAAAAUGUUCCGUAAAGAAACUUAAUUUGAAGUUUCUCUUAUACACAGUAGGAGGUUGAAACUAACGAGAUUCUGAAUCCUAAAUGUCAAAGGCUAAAAUUAAAAACAUUGGUCCUGCUAAUUAAAUAAUAUUUGUCUUUUAAAUGUCAUUAGCUUUGGGAUCCUUGGCAGGUUCUUUGGACUAGAAUUGAAAAGUGGUGAUAAACAGCAAGUAAAAGAAGUAGAAAACGAUCGAUGCGGCGAUGGAUGCGUUCGUGAGCUUGUUUGAUAAUGCUACUAACGAUCUUUUGAGAACGAUGUUUAUUGCUAUUAUUUUAUGUAUCCAGGUACAUUGGAUUGAGUAAUCGUGUCUACGUUCCAAGGAUUCUGAGAAUUUGUUUCAUGUCCGUGCAUAGUCAAACGCAUGCUAACUUUUCUUUUACUUGGUACUCUAGCUUUUUUCUUAGGCUUAGUUUGGUAUUGAAAUUUAUUAUUUGACGUUAGCAGAUAAAAUAAAGUUGGGAUAAAAGUAUAUAGGUUCUGCGUUCUCCAAUGAAGCCGCAAAAAAAUAACAUGAUCGAUUCAUCGUAAUAUACGGAAUAUAAUAUUAUGUACGAAAACAAACAGAGUAUUUUUCGAUCAUACUAUCUCACUGCACAUAGCGUAAUCUCACUGCAAUCUCAAACGAAGCCUUAAUAGAAAUGAGAGUACGAAAUAAAUCAUGCUACGCUUUUGGACCCUAUUUGCCUUGGGGUCUUAUAAAUGAAAAAUUGAGGCUGGAAAGUUGACUACUAAAUCGUAAGAAAGAUGUAACAAUAGGCAAAUCCAACUCGAUCAAAUUAGUUGGAUAACUAAACUUAAGUUGGAACCAAUUUAACAUGAUCCAAUUGAGCGUAACUUGACCCGCAAAGAAUCCGCAAAUAGAUACUUGACUAGAACUUCAUUCAAUGCAAAGGCUCAUGCAACUAGGCCUCGUGAAAUCCUAUUUAACCUUUGCUUAAAGGCCCCUGUAGUGCCGUUUGGCCCAUUUAGGAGUCUAAGUAUCGCCCCAAAUGGGCCUUUUGCAACAGACCAUCAAGUUCGUUUCACUUCCCACUACUACAACCACAGGGUGGGCAUUUAUUACUCGGAUUAGUCCAUCCUCUCUCUCUCUCUCUCUCUCUCUCUCUUAUAUCUCCGGAGGAGUAGCCAUGGACGGUGGCGGCGGCGUUGCGUGGACCGACGAGGUAGAGGAUCUCGUGGACCGCGGCGACGUCGAUGGCGCCAUAUCCGUCCUCGAAGCUGUGGUCGCGAGGCUCGAGGCCGAGGAGGUGCCCUCCUCCUCCUCCGCAACACCGCCGCCGCCGCCGCCGCUGCCGUGUCCCGGCGACCUCGGCCUCGCCGCCGCCCUCGGCGACCUCGCCGAGCUCCACGCCUCCCGCGGCUUCUCCCUCAAGGCCGACGAGCUCCGCUCCCGCGCCCUCGCCCUCCGCGCCCGCGCCGAUCGGACCCCUUCCCCCAAUCUAGGGUUAGUUCCCCACCGACGUCUCGAUCUGCCUCUCGGGAUUAGGGUUAUGGUUUGGGAUAUUGCGUGCUUGAUUCGGUUUUUGUCGUGGAUGAAGGGGCUCUGACCCGGCGGAGGAGAAGAAGACUCCGGCGAAAGAGGACGUUAGGGUUUCGGAAGAGACUAAGAAAAACCAGGAAGAGGAACAGGACGAUGAGGAUGGUAUCUUUCUCGACACAUUACGCACAUUUGAACGAUUUUUUGAUUGAAUAAAGGUUUUCUGGUUGAGAAUGAGCAGAUUGGGAGGCCAUUGUGGAUCGCGGAGCGAUAGAGGACUCCUUGAAGCUGGAAACUGAUGCUGCUUCUUCAAAAAGCACUGUCGUGGAAGAGCCGGUGGUGUCUGCGACUCCCAAGAGAAGGGGAAGGGGUUCGUUUCUUUACGACAAGAGUGUGUUAUAUAGUGAUCAUCAUGGUGAGCAUACGACUCUGGAGGACAAAGCAGAGGCCAAGGACAAGCCAGAGGCUCACGAAUAUCAGGAUGCCGAUAAAGCUUCCGGAAAUAGAAGCGGUGAGUUUCAGGUUUUGGCUUUUGUUCUUCAUUUCUUUAAUUCAUCGUGAAUUAUAAAGAUUGCGGCUUUCAUCAUUGCAGUGAGAUUUGGGACUAGCCAUGUUCUUGUUGUGUACGAUUUUCCACCUAGUACUCGCACAACAGAGUUAGAAAAGAUCUUCGAAGACUUUAGGGAUCGUGGAGUGGCCAUUCGAUGGGUUAAUGAUACUGUGGCACUUGCAGUGUUUCGAACACCAUCAGUCGGUGAGUUUACUUAUCUUGGUUCUCUGCUUAGACUAUCAAAAAAGACUUUUAUUUUUAGGUCCAUGCAAUUUCUGAUGCCUGGUUCAGAAUUUGAUACUAAUUUUAAAUUUUGAUAACCGCCGUAAAAUUAUAAAGGCUGAAAGGAUGGUUUUCUCGUAGGGAAAAGCUAGAAGGAUCAUCAAAAAACUUCUAGUAGCAAAUAUUUUGAUGGAUGACAUGCUAAUGGAAACACAUUUCGUCAUGGAAUUCGACAAGGUUUAAGUAAAUCUUGGGUCUAGGUCGGGAUGUUCCAAAGGUUUCAACAAAUGUUAAGAAUAUAUGAGAUGUGCAUAAUUAAUUGACCAAAGAAGUAUGUGGUGGACAUUCGUGUAACAACAUGAAGAAUAAAGGAGUAGAGUAGUUAAGGGAGAAGCAGUAAAAAAAUGGCAACUUUACAAAAUAUAGGAGAGAUAAGCGGCAUUAGCGAGUGGAGGAAGGGCGACUGGGGAGCUCGGAGAAGAUGAAGAAGAGUCGAGGAGGUAGGAGAAGGUCCGAGGGCGGAAAAGAGGGAACUUGCGGAUUGAAGCUCCAGAAAAUCGGAGCGGAUGCAAAAGGCGGACCCACGACCCACCUUCCGCGGAGCGGACUAGAGGAGCGACCUGGGAUCCACUACCGAACCGCAACAAUACUUAACGGGUCAAAGCUGCAGUCUUUCGGAUCGGGGACAAAUGGCAGACCCAAUACCCGCAGGGUAGAGGGUCUAGAGGAGGAGGCGCCAACUAACCCAUAUCCAUUCACUAGAGUGCCAAGCCCAAACUGCGGCCCACAUUACAUCGUUGAGCCGACUGGCCCGAGGCCCACCGACUACUUUCAAUUAGAAUUUGCUUUCCUUCAUUUCAAAAAAUGAAAACCACUCGCGCACCCCCUCCGCCGCCGAGCAGCGGGAAAAAAAGAAAGAUACCGCCGCCACCUCCGUUGCCGCCGCCGCCCCCCUCCACCGCUGCUCGGCGGGGCCCGAAAGAAAACCCCCCGUCUGUUCGAAAAAGAAAUGUACCUCCGCCACUGCCUCCGCCGCCCCUCGCUCUGCCGGCGAGCAGCGGCGGCAGCAAGAGAAAAAGAGACGUAAAAUAGAUAAAGAUCGUACCUCAGCACCCGCCGCCUCCGCCGCCGCCGCCGCCGCCCCUACUAUCGGGAUCGCAACGACGGCGGAGCAGCGGGACCCUACGUCGAUCCUCUACCUCCGCCGCCCCUACUCUGCUGGCGAGCAGGAGUGGUAGAAAGAGGAAAACACCUCCGCCGGCGAGCAGCGGGGGCGGGCGGAGGUACGAUCUUUAUCUUUCUUACGUCUCUUUUCCUCUUUCUGCCGCCACCCCUCGGCAGCGGAGGGGUUUUCCUCUUUCUGCUGCCGCUACCCCCAGCGGAGUGGGGGCGGCGUAGAGGAUCGACGUAGGGUCCCGCUGCAGAAAGAGGAAAAGAGACGUAAGAAAGAUAAAGAUUGUACCUCCGCCCGCUCUCGCUGCUCACCGGCGGAGGGGUUUUCCUCUUUCUGCCUCCGCUGCUCGCCGGCGAAGUGGGGGCGGCGGAGGUAGAGGAUCGACGUAGGGUCCCGCUGCUCCGUCGUCGUUGCGAUCCCCAUAGUAGGGGCGGCGGCGGUGGCGGAGGAGGCGGCAGAGGCGGCGGGUGCUGAGGUACGAUCUUUAUCUUUCUUACGUCUCUUUUUCUCUUGCUGCCGCCGCUGCUCGCCGGCGGAGCGGGGGGCGGCGGCUGGGGCGGUGGAGGCAGAGGUGGCGGCGGCGGAGGUACAUUUCUUUUUCGAACAGACGGGGGGGUUUUUCUUUCGGGCCCCGCCGAGCAGCGGUGGAGGGAGAGGGCGGCGGAGGUACCUUUCUAUUUUUCCUGCUGCUUGGCGGUGGAGGGGGUGCACGAGUGGUUUUCAUUUUUUGAAAUGAAGGAAAGCGAAUUCUAAUUGAAAGUAGUCGGCGGGCUUUAUAAGGGACUGGCCCGGAGCCCCGGGCCCUCGGGCCAGUCGGCUCAACGGUGUAAUGUGGGCCGCGGUUUGGGCUUGGCAGGUCCAAGGCACUCUAGUGAAUGGAUGCGGGUUAGCGGGCGCCUCCUCCUCUAGACCCCCUACCCUGCGAGUAUUAGGUCCGCCAUUUGUCCCCGAUCCGAAAGACUGCAGCUUCGACCCAUUAAGUAUUGUUGCGGUUCGGUAGUGGAUCCCGGGUCGCUCCUCUAGUCCGCUCUGCGGAAGGCGGGUCGUGGGUCCGCCUUUUGCAUCCGCUCCGAUUUUCUGGAGCUUCGAUCCGCAAGUUCCCUCUUUUCUGCCCUCAAGGCGGACCUUCUUCUACCUCCUCGACUCUUCAUCUUCUCCGAGCUUCCCAGAUGCCCUAGCCCGUCGUCCUGCUGGAGUCCCGUCCAAGCACUCUCUCUCGCCGAACCUUUCCACCGAGCUCGCCCUUCUCCACUCGCUGAUGCCGCUUAUCUCUCCUAUAUUUUGUAAAGUUGCCAUUUUUUUACUGCUUCUCCUUUAACUACUCUACUCCUUUAUUCUUCAGGUUGUUACAAUUCGGUAGGCAUCGAUUAACUUCAUUUAAUUUUAACGGAAAUAUGACUAUCUUAUUCAUUUCUUUUCAAAUUUGGCUCUGAAGUGUAAGCAGUCCAUUUGAGUUAAUAGCAAUGUCUCCACAAUCUAUCUCCGUAGAAUUUACAUCAGUAUUUGUGAAGUACUGACUAGACUGAAGAAAAGGCCAAGCCACUGGACUGGAGAAGUGGACAAUACCUUGAUUUAUAAAAUUUUCUUGAUAAGGUCAAAAUACAUUGGCAACAUUGCAAUUUAUAUGCAUAUGUAUACACAUAUAUGCAUGCAUAUAUACUUUAGUACAUGUAUGCACACACAUAUGGGUGCACAUAUAUUCGAGGAUUCAAGUACUGCAUCUACACACAAAUUUAUAACUAUGCUUGUACAUAUGGAAGCUUUAUUCUUCCAAUUGAAUUGUAGAAUUGGGUGCAUAUGCAUCCAGCUAGCGCAUACGCGGUAUCUUGAUGGCUUUGUAUAUUGUUGGUGCCUUUUGAAAAGUUGACACCUUUACUCUGUGACUGCUGUAUUCUCUCUCGUCUUUGAAAUGUGUUAUAAUGGGCAAACUUGCUGCUAUGUUUUAUCAGCUAGCUUCAUCUUUGACAUUUUGUUAGAACUCUAUUUUCUUUCCUCUGUUCUCCAUUCAAUAUUUAGGUUGACACUUCUAUAUGAACAUGUUAAAUCUCUUGAUAUAUAAUGUUGCAAAAAAAAUGUUUCAUGCCACUACAAUGUGACUAAAUAUAUUUCAUUUUUACGAGAUUGGUUUGUCAAUAUCUUUUCGUGUUUACUAUUUAGUUUAAUAUUUCCUUUUUUUUGUUGUGUAUUGAAUGCGGCGACUAUUGCCUUUCUAGCAUAUGAGGCUCUAAACAGUGUGUCGUCCCGAUACAAAUUACGCUUACUAGAUGAGGACGAUGAUCUUUUCCCUAAGCUUGACAUCAAAGGUCCUUUCUUCCCUUUCUUCUCUUUAAUUUCGUUGUUUUCUCCUAUCAUGCAUCUCCUGCAAUUUAAUCCUUAUGUUUUUUGGUGCAUCCAACAUAGAAAUUUUCAUGCGUAUAUUUUGAUCAUUCCCUUGUUUAGUUUGUUUUUUUUUCUUUCCUUCUUCUUCUUCUAAAGAUGAGUUGUUGCAGAUCUGGAACCACCUUAUCCAAGACCAAAGACGUCAGCAAGAACUGCCCAGAGAUUGAUAGCCCAAGUGAUGGGAAUAAGACCUACCUCAAAUUUUGGCUCUGCUGAACUGAAGAAGCAGGAGGAAGCGCGAAAGAACCGAAUAGUUGCUCGGCAAACAAUGCGUGACGAAGCCUGGGGCUCAGACAAAUCUUAGCAUAUUAUGUGCACCGACCUUUUUAUCAUCUCCCUUUGAUUGGUUGUUCUCAUCACAUUUGUUUGUGUGAGUGGUUUGAAGAACAUGUUCUUGUGCAUCACAUGCUGGCUGUGCUUUCAGCUUUCGAGGGUGUUUUAUCUCCCCCCCUCUUCUUUCCUCUGUGAAUAAUAUCAUUGAGUGUGUCAUGUGAAUAGAACAUUACAAUACUGUUCAUUGUAAACAUUUGUAAAGCAGUGGGAAACUAAUUUGAAGAAGUUAUCGUUAUUUUUUUUGUUGAAGAUAUAUGCUAUGCCUUAUGUGCAUUCAUGUAAUUAGGUCUUCUGGAUGGUACAAUCCUGCUCUCUGCUUUACAGAAUUGCCAAAAGUAGAUAUAUGCACCUCUGCUUCUUGUCUUGUGUGUGAUUGGUUUUGUGAUUUUGUAUCGGAGCAUGAGUUGUGGACCAACUUAUAUCUCAUGACGCAGAUUAAACUACUUAGAAGGCUGCAUUAGUUGGUCACAGUGAUCUAAUCGGUAGGGCAGGACUAUACCACAUUUUCAGUAUUUUAUCAUGGUUAAAGCCAACAGUUGGAAUAUCCUUCAUUGGCUUGGUCAUGAAGCAUCUGCAGAUUCUUGACAGAUGUUUUGCUUGGAAUAGUGUGAUUCGUUGUUUUUCUCUUGUCUACAACUCUGAUUUUUAGGUGAUAUAACACCUUUCAUGCUUUGCAGAGCACCAGUUGAACUUUUAUGUGCUUGUACAGCUUGAUGUAGAAGUAAAAUCAGUGAAUGGCUGAAUGUCUUUUCUGGUUCGCGACUUGCGAUGAGAUCAGCGAAUGGCUGAAUGUCUUUUCGGGUUUGCGACUUGAGAUGACCCUUCUGCGUCUGAAUUCUCAAUUCAGCCUCCGGCGCGUAACUUGUUUGAUGUUUGAAUGGUAUGUCAUUAGCUGCAGGGUAUUUUGAUUGCUGAUAUUUCUUUUCACAAAAAGAUUUGAUUGUUGUCUGAUUAUGUUGAAAUGUCUUGGGUAGUUGGUAAAACCUAUGGGUGGCGAUUUUUGACACCCUUCUGGAGACUGACACCCUGAUGAACCCAACUGAACUGCAACGACAACAACUGUUGGCUUUUCAACUUUUUUAGAUUGGCCGAGUAUCUUAAUUCCUCCUCCAAACUUUGCUGCAGUAUGUCAGUGUUUUCUAUGCUAUCUUAUCUUUCUAAUGAAUUCUCGUAAAUUCAGAUUCAUAUGCACGAGGGUAACAACAUCGGAGAUGAUUUUACAUAUAUCAAGUGUGGAAGGGUUUGCACAUAAUAUUCAAAGUUUCAAAUCAUUAUUAUGCAAAAAACUGUGAUUUAUUGCUCUUUAAACUAAGGAUUGAGGGCUACUUUCGGUAAAGCUUGAAAUGAUCGAGACGGCCCUUCAGUCGGGAGGAAAAAAGGAUGAGUUUGAUUAAGCAGACUGAUUCCUAACUGCCGGCGUCAGAACUUGGUCCUUUCCUAUUCAAUUUUGCUCAUGUCAUUUUAUGUAACUCCACGGCAUCUAAAACUUUUUUUUUU